rnacentral:lncRNA from 1 species
UGCUCACAAUUAAUCCGAUUACACACGAGCUUCUCUCCCUGGCCAAGACACAACCAUAGUAUGAUGAAGAACAUGGCACUAGCCGGCAAUGGUAUGAAGAAGUUAAUCCUCGCUGUUCUCUUACUGUGUCUAGUUAUAGGGCAGAUACAAGUGGAAGCUAAGAGCUGCUGCCCAUCCACCACUGCAAGAAAUGUCUACAAUACCUGCCGUUUCACGGGUACAUCCCGUCCAACGUGUGCAAAACUGUCAGGCUGCAAAAUUAUCAGCGGGAACAAAUGCAAGCCCCCUAACGACCACCUCACCCUUGACCCGGACACUGGUAAAUAAUAAAUUUAUCUCACUUGAUUUCUUCGUGAUUUGAGUCGUUAAUGUAUUUUCCAUCUGAUGAAACGUAUUGGUUUUGCAUUGAAGAGGAAGUUAAUGUGCUUAACUUCUGCAAGUUGGGGUGUGCGUCGUCUGUGUGCAACAACAUCAACGCUGGUAAGCAACUUUUGCUCAGACAGAGAAAACAAUAAUCAUUAAUUAGCGGCAGCUAGAAUCCUAUAAUCUAAUAUAUAUAUAUAUAUAUAAUUUUAUCAGCUCUGGGAAAUGAAGAGGCGAACGAUGCCGUUGAGAGUUGCGACCAAGCCUGCUCUAGCUUCUGCAGCGUGCAUGUUGGCAGCGCCACCGUGGUUGCUUAAGCAAAUGCAUCCAACUAGAUCGUCCUUGUGCUGAAUAAUUGGAUAUCGUAUCCACUUAAAGCUGCCUUGUGUAGUACGUCUUUGUGUCUCUCUUUAUAUUCCAAUAAGGUCGGUGAUCUUGAUGCCACACACUCAGAUGUGUGUUCAUCUCCAGAUACUACUCCAUGCUACCUGCCCUUUGUGUUUUGUUCAAUAACUGGGUAUCAUAUCCCAGCCAGUAUGCCGUCUGUUUUGUGUUUGUUUCCUUCUAGUUCCAAAGGGGUCAUCAUGAUGUUACCUUCUUUCAAUAUGGUGCUUUGCAUGACUACUGUUGUAUGGUACCAUCUUGUGGCCAAUAAGUACAUCUUAUCCUAUGACCUUUGCUAUGACCCUUUGCAAAUAAGUAGAAGAUUGUUAUAAGCGUCAAUACUCCGUAUAAAUUGAUCGCUGCUGUGAGUUCCCUUUCAGCUUAUCGUAGGCAUACAUUAUUGCUAGCACGGUAAAGCCAACCAACACGAAUGAUGAAGUAAACGUAGCGGUACUUCUGUAUACCAACACCCUUACUUAAAUGUACCGGUGUCAUUCCCUACUGGCACAUAUAUUCUUAUAUGCUAGCCAGCUUGUAAAAUUAACCAAUUAAAAUAAUUAUUUCAAGAUAGAAAUAACUUAUCGGUUUCUGGAAGCAUGUGUAAUGUGAAUUCAAGGACUCGACGGAAGUUGAAUCACUUCAUCUAUAUUGCUUUCAGUAUUUUGGGUAACUAAAUUUAACAUUUGCACAUACAAAUGUUAAAGUACAAAUGUUAAAUCUAGUUACCCAAGCAGAAUAUGAAGAUAGUUUAUAGUAUAUAUAUACUAUAUAAAUCUAGUUAACAUUUAGUCUAAAUGUUAAAUCUAGUUACCUAAAAUCCUGAAAGCAAAAUGUAUAAAUAUAUAUCUUUUAAGGCAGUAUAAGCUUCGAUUCCUAUUGCUGCUCUGUUAAAUCUCAUCUUUCGUUGUGGCCCAACACUCUAGUAUGCAUGUUGCACCAAGCUUCUUUGAGCCGCUCUGCCCUCUGAUUUUGCUGCGUAGGGGAAUCUUUAUCAGGUUGGGCUACUUCCAGUUGUGCGAUGUAAAGAUUCGUAUUUUCUAGAAGGUAGACAAAAAACUCGCGUUCUCUUAAGGCAACAACCGGAAGAUUCUGCAGCGCACAGGGCAUACCAUUAUUGUAGAAACGACCUUUAGUACCGAUCUCCAACCCCCUUUAAAACUGGUUUUGCAACCGGUACCGUUAUGUCGGUCCUUUAGUACCAGAUCAAAUAAGUACCGGUUGGUAACCAGUAUCAACUUGUUUUGCGGCCAAAAAAAUAAAGAAAAAAACAGUCAGAAGGCUCGCGCACACGCGCAUCACAUGAAAUAUGCGUGUGCGGGGUCCAUGGGAUUCGAACCCAUGAAAUCAAGCUGCGCGCGACCCUUCGUUACCAUCUCACCUACAUAGCGCAUAUGCUUUCCUGAAGUAACCCGUGGAGGAGGCUUUAGUACCGGGUCAUAACACCACCCGGUACUAAAAAUGACUCUUCAGUACCGGGUCAUAACACCACCCGAUACUAGUAUCGGAUGGUGUAAUGACCCGAUACUAAAAGGCCUCUAGGGACCCUCAAAUUUGAACCCGGUACUAAUGCUAAUAUUAGUAGCGGGUCAAAGUGCAGCCAGAACUAAAGCAUGGGAUGAAAGGUCAUAUUUCUAGUAGUGUAUAGUUGUUGUGAAGGACUGACUUGGCUGUCCUCUCUCUUCUCCAUCCCCUUGGUCUUACGCCGCCGCUCGCACGCGAGCCGGUGCCCAACCAGAGGAGUGAGAGCUAGGGGCAGGUUGGGAGGUGGGGAUAGUGACUGGUGGCCAGGGUGAUGGUUGAUCCUGGUGGGGUUAGGGUUUUAGGGUUUUCGAGCUUCCUAUGGUCGGCGAACCUAGAGGAGGAGCUCAACAUCAGCUGCAACCCGCGAUGGUGGUGGUUUGGCCGGCGCCCGAGGCGAGGCAGCGCGGGAGUGCUGCCGGUGGGUUGGUGUUGGCACUCAUUAUUGACAACUAUUUUGUUCAUAAAAUAACACUCAAACUUGCUGCUGCUGCUGCUGCUGCCAUCGCCACCCUAGCCAUAAUAUAAAGGCAAAAUUUGCUAAAGGACAUGCAAAAUGAUGCUAGUUUGCUGGCGGGCAUCGUUGACCUUGUAAUAUGCUACAAGACACUCUAGUUGUGUAUCAAUUUGCUGAAAGACAUUGCUAUGACUAAAAUAAUGUUUCUGGACUGAGUUGGAGAGAGAGAUGGAGUGAAAUGUCUGUUUUGCCCAUGACCCCACUGGUCAGAUCCUUCUUCUUCCACCCUCCUUUGUUCUUUCUUCAACCAUUACCCAGCUCCAGCGUGUUGCAGAUCUACGAGGGUGGCGGCCUGGGGCGAGGGGCAUCGCUCGCCCUUGGAGGAGCGCUGCGAGCGACGGCGCGGGGGCGGCAACAGCGCGUCAGAACCUGACUGUUCGUUAGCUCCUCUCGCUGCUGGGGAAGGAGGGGGAUGGGCCAUGGACGGGGUUCCCUUGAAAACCUCAGCGUCGAGCUCGGGCGGCUACGCGCAGGCAGCACUAGGCUGCUUCACGGGGAGGGGGCGCGGCCAAUCAUUGGCACCCCACUGGUCCAAUGCUGAUGAAGAUGGUGCCAGCGUCGUGUGAGGACAUCUCAUCUCCUCGAGUUCCAUGGCCAGCACAGGUGAGCUGCCGCUACCACAAAACAGAGGUUUCGUGAGAGUCAAAAAACCUUAUGAAAAUAGCUAAAACCAUCAUGAAAAUAAUCCGUGACAUGACACUCUCACGAAAAUCCUCUCACAAAUAUGGUGCCAUGAAAAUACCAUUUUCAUGAGAGUGAACUGUCAUGAUUUUAUUUCGUGAGAGUAUUUCCUAUCAAUGACCUCCACGAAAUACUUUGUGCCACCAGGUCUUCAAGAUCAUUUUCAUGAGAGCUGAACAUCAGGAAAAGUCCGCCACAAAUGUUUUUCUUGGAGCCCCUAACUCUCAUGAAAAUCAUGCGGGCCGCCACGAAAAACAGCAUGACCAAAUGACAAAUUUCAUUUUCAUGUGUUCAUACCGCCAUGAAAAUGGUCAUUUUCAUGAGAGUUGAUGAAACAAAAAAUAGUGCCAUUUUCAUGAGAGUUCAAGCAACCAGGAAAAGACACUAAUAAACAUCCAGAUCCCAUCCAGCACACAUCCAUGCACAUAUAUAACCCACAUAUUGCUCCAGCACACAUCCAUGCAUAUACAAGAUCCAAAUGUUAAUAUAGUAGACAUCCAUGCCUGAACUAGUCUGCCACACAAGUCAUUGAUGCUACAAAUCCUACAAUCGCAGCAUGUGCAUACAAGUCACAGAAUGAGACAAUGUACCCAAAACUAAAAGGUUAGCAUCAACUGUGCUUCAACCAAAGUUGUCAUCCCAACUCUCCUCUUCAUCCAUGCCAUUCUUGUCGUGGCCGUCACUGUCAGUCCCCAUGGCAUUGCCAAUGCUGUGCAUGUCUUGGUAGGAACCUACAUGUGAUGAACUAGUAACCUGCAAAAAGAGCUCAAAGGAUCUUGUUCUCAUAUUGUAGCUGUGAAAUUCUUACAAGUAGUGUUGCAAUCAGUUCACUUUGAACCAAAAGAGCUCAAAGGAUCUUGUCCUAAAAGUUCCUCAUAAAGCUUAUGGGUUUGCUGGUGGAACUGGAAGGGCUUGAUGCAGCAGAUGCCAUUCUGCAAUAGAGAAAAAUUUAGAGAGCAGUACUAGUUAAAAUUGGAUGCAGAAGAUACACAUGAAACUAGUAUUUAUACAAGUCUAUACAAUUAAAAUCUAAGGAGACUUAUCAUCGUUUUCAUGUGUUGUGAAUUAAAAUAAUGAAGGAUACACUGUUAGGUGAAAAUUCAAGAAACAAAAUUUUGCAUAGAGAUAAAGGUCCAACAUUAUUACAAGUUAAGGUAGUUUUAAAUAUCCUUGUAAUCUUCCUUUGGUUUCCUCAACGAUUCGAAGACAAUAACCUUGCUUCUAUCAAUGAUAAUUAUAAGGAGAAUCCAGUGGAAACUGUGUAUUCGUAUUAGAACUACCUAAGGUUAAUUAGGUUAGGAAAGGAAAUUGAAAAUAGAUGGUACCCACACUUACUUAAAGUUGUCGGGCAAUAGUAUGUAAUGCUUGUAAUUCCGUUGCUCCAAGAAUUUGUAUAUGUGGUCCAAUGUAGACUUUGGUUGAUCCCGUAUCUGCUGUUGGUUAAAUAAGUGUUUCUAGCCAUUUCUAGCCAUUAGAACCGGGACUAAAGGGGGCUCUUUAGUACGGGUUGAUAUUACUAACCGGGAUUAAAGAGCCCCCAUUAGAGUUGGUUUUUGGAUGCGGAACUAACAACUCCUUUAGUCCUGAGUACGAAAACAACUGACAUAUUUGUUGCUGGAUGGAAGGUCCUUUCUCUACCGUGAAUAUUGCCAGAAAGAAUUGAAAGAGACUGCUUGCUAAAAAUAUGUCAUAGAUGUAGACCAAGCUACCAAGGAGGUAGACCAAACAUGAUACACACCAUGCGUACCUUGCUGUGCAGACUAUGCAUUGACAAGAUACCCGACCACAUGUUGGCCUCGGUCACAUCAAAAGAAUCAUGUAGGCCACCAAUAAACUACUUGAAGCGGCAUUCCGUAUCGUAUAUGCAUUGCCGGUUCAUCUGCAUUACAUUACAUAAAGCACUAUUAACUAUUUGAAUAAAAUGAACCAAUUUAAAAGUAAUGUGUUGUACUCUACUAUAGAAAGCCCUAUCACUGCCGGAUCCAAAAACAUCAUUGUUAAUGGUGGUUAAGUACCAAAUAUGACGGUCAAUAUUCUCAAGAAUAAUGGAGAAUUAGCAUUUCUUAGACACAUAUUUGGUUUUGAACAAUGUAGUUCCACAUGUCUUUGGAGAUUAUUUGGGUGUGGGUGAAAUAAUACAAAAAUAAGGAGAAAACACACUCCCAUGGCGAAGAAACACAACUCCAACCAAUGAGAGAUAGCCACAGGGGCAGCACACGGAUCCAUGGGCCCACUAACCGCAUCAAACCAUCUUACCAAGGCAGGUAGCACCCACAACCGUCAUUAGGACCCACCUGGAAGUCUACCAAGAAGAAGGUUGCGAGUGGGGCCAGGAGGGGUUCGGUUGAAUCAUCUCUAGCUAGCUCCCCUCAUCCCCAGCUGGUGGGUGGUGGUGGUUGAUGGUGUCCCUACAUCAGUUAGAGGAGAUUCCCCCAAAUAUUCCUCCUGUAAACCACCUCUAUGGACCUAUACAUAGAGGGGUGUGCUCUCCAUUCCAACACACACCACAAGUUGAAUCACUCUCUCCCUCUUUAGUUUCCAAGUUUAUGGAGUUAGGCUAGAGUAGCUCUGCUCAAGGUUCCAAGUCCACUUGGAGUUAAGCAUAUGUCUCUUGUAUCGUUAUUUCCUAAAUUGACUUUAUGCUUAGUUCUUAUAUGCAUGAGUUAGUCUAAUACCCUUGCUAUAUUGAUAUGCUCGGCUUAUAUGCUCGUAUGCUAGUCAUAUACCCUUGCUGUCGUAGUAUAGGCUUAUAUGCUCUCAUGUGUGCCUGUAGACCUUGCUAUAGUAUAUACUUGUUGUGCAUACAUACCAUGUAUAGGCUAGUCGAUCUAUACCAUGGCAUUGGUUCAAUAGCCAUGUUUUUGGUGGCUCCAACCCUAGUCACAAUAGCUCGGGACAGCUGGAGUGUUGUUAAAAAUGCAAGAGUGGUGCUUGGGUUGUUUAGCAUCGUUGGAUAUGGGUUUGCCCCACGGGUUUCUAACGGUAGGCGGCAGCUAGUGACAUCCCUGUCCGUCCUUCGUAAUCCCCCCACAUUCAGGUACGCCAUAAAUGUUCGUAAAUUAGCAGUAACUACGCCGGUACACCUGUAGGGUAUUGUCUCCCUGUAGUACCUUGGUGCAUAGAACUAAGUCCUAUACACUGUGUGUGUAUGUUUACGCUGAUAUGAUCUGUGCAGUAUAUAGGAUGUAUAUAUGAACCUAGAGCUAACUCCUAGUCCGUUCUCCAUAGCUUAGUUAUCUUGAGAUGAUUCUUCUGUAUGUGUAACACUACCCAUCUUAUCAUUAUCCUUGAUCCUGUCUUGUGUAAUAUAUCUACUCAUCCUAUGAUAUACUCAUAUGCAUAGUAAACUAUUUUGACCUACCCGCCUUCCUUUGGGAAAUAUGAUACCUUGGAAUAAUCCUAGGUGAAAUCCUACAACGGUAUAUCCAUGUAAAUGCGGAUUUAUUCAUGACCAUUAAAUAUACCAACAAUCAUCACUGUGAGUUUUGGGCGUCGUUAGUGAAGGGUUGGUAGUGAUGGGCAUCCCCUUCACCAAUGGACCUGGAACCGGCGGUGAUGGCUAUUAUAAAAAAGGGGACACCACCCAGCGUACCCCACGACCCGGCCGGCCGCACCUCCCAUCAUCCCCGCCAGCCGCCCUUCCUUUUCGCCGGCCGAGCAUGGUCCCGGCCUUUGUCCCUACCACCUCGCCUCCACCGCGACCCCCCGCCGAUGCCCUCGUGCCUGGCCCCCCUCAUCUUGCCGGCCACCCUCCCGAUGCGUCCACUGGGGCCCUCGCACCACCAACCGCCCUUGCUUAGAGAGGGAGAGAGAGGAGGGAGGUGAGGCCACGCACCUCGUCCUACACCGCCGCUGUUUCUCCUCGGCCCACCGCGCCUCACCCCACACCACAGCCGCGCCUUGCCAUCUUACCGGCUGUGACGCCUCAUCUCACCGGCCACCGUUCCUCACCCCCACUUCGGUCGUCGCCGCUCCUUGCCCUACCGCUGCUCUUUGCCGCUGCGAAUGAGCGCCGAGUGGAGGAGGAGGGAUGGGGCAGGAGGAGGGCAAGAUCCGGGAGGAAGGGAGAGAUCUCGGGAGGUGGAGAUGGAAGGAUAUGGCGGAAGGGAGAGAUCCAGAGGGAGAGAGCAGGGGAGAGAGGGGGGCGUGUGGGGAGAGAGCGCGUGUGGGGUGGGGCCGGGCUGGUGGGAUGGAAGGGAGAGGGGCUAGACGGGCGCAGUGCAUUCAACUGGAUGAAGUAAAUAUUUUGGAUUCGAGACCCCAGCUUUAUUAUCACCGCUGGUCCGUAGUACCAUCCGGUGCCUGCUCGUAAUUUAAUUUGAAUCUGCGGUGAUGUUUUAUUAUCACCAUCGGAUCAUAUAAAAAUCCGGCGGUUAAAAAUCCGCUGGUUUCGAUGAAAACCGACGGUGAUAGGAUGACUGUGAUAGUCUCUUCUCUAGUAGUGGUAUAUUAGUACCGGCUGCCGGAUGGUGUUGCCGACCAGUACUUCUCCGGGGGCGAUUCAGUACUGCUGUUAGCAAAGCUUGUUCUCUAUGAAUUUGGGGAUGGAAAGCUAGUUCUCUAGUUGUGAUUUGUUACAUAUAUAUCUAUGAUAGUCUAGAAAUUGCAUGUCCUUCGUUGACAUAGUUGAAGCUGCUUCAAGAAUUUACUUCGUGCAGUCGUGCAGCAUAUUGGAUUAUCACCUAGACAGGAUACAUAGGUGAAGCAUUGGAUGUGAUUGUGGCCGAUAAUUAUGCAGGACGCUGUUGCAAUCAACCACCAAGAAGUCUGGAGUGAUGGGGUUGCCUCAUCAAUAAUUUUUAUAUAUGGCUGCAGUAUUAUUAAGCCCACGUCAAUAAUUUUUUGUCCGCACCAUAUAUCGAUGGGGUUGCCUCAUCAAUAAUUCGCGCAACCAGACAAGCUGCAGACUCAAUAUGGUACGAAGCUAGUUGCUCAGCCCACAUGCUCUGAUAUAACAUUGACAUCUGCUGAUCUACAGUAUAUAUGACCAGAAAUAUUGUGCCCACCUCAAUAACUUUCUGAAGUAUCGUGGGGAAGAACCUACGCGUACUAUGCCUCGGAACUAACUGACAUAUCGGCCCAGGCGGUCUAGGCCGAUUGGACUGGCUCUUCCUUGUGGCUUCUCACAUCCCCUUCGUCCCCAAGUAAUUUCAGGUGUUCUGUAGUUUUCUUUUCACUUGCAUCUGAGCCUCCUAUAUCAAUAGCUUCGGGAUAAGAAUGCCUCUUGAUAACCUUCCAAAUCCUCGCUUGAUUCACAUUGAUUCCGAAAUCAUCUUGCCAUAUCUUCAGAGACUUAGGUCCUAAGGCAUCAUGGAGGAUUGCUCGCCAAGAAUGAGCACCAUUGGGCUCCUGAGGACCCUAGGCCGAUCAGCCCGGGCUCUAUAGGUCGAUUGGCCCAGGCCCUCUCUGGGCCUGUUGGCCUUCAUCUUUCUUUGAGUCGACGCUUAUUCAGGGCUUUGUCCAAUUAUAGUCCAUUAUAGUCUAAUUUCCUAAAAAACAGAAUGUCCUCCAAAAUACAAUGCAUAUGUGAAAACAACCCAAUUAUUAGGUAUGAUCAAUAGUUUAGGUAUUAAAUUAAUAUUAUUAUUUAAGAUAAACAGGGGUAAAGGGUGUCAUUAAUAACAAGCGCCAACAAGCGUCCUAGCUGUUCAAUAAAUUUUUUCUAGUACCGAUUGGUAACACUAACCGGUGCUAAUAUGUACCCUUUAUUACCGGUUAUUUUACCAGGUACUAAAGGAGACAAGAGCAUCCUAACAUAAGGUUAAUAUCAUCCAUUUCAUGAGUAAAAUACUAUGAUUCAAAAAUAAUUCAAAUCCCUUAAGACAAUACCUAUCAAAUGAGUAAAUUGUAAAUAGAGUAAUCUUGAUCAAACAAUGUCCUAAUGAAACGGAACACUUCUGGUUCGUGUAGAGCACAAUAUAGAAAACAGUAGGGUAGCUGUAUGAUUGACACGUGGUCCAUUAAUUAUUGAGCCAACACUAUGGACAUGUCUUCAUGAGUAGUGUACUAGUCAUAAUACAUGGUAUGCAGUAGGUGGAGGUAUUGACUUAGCCAUGCUAUGAGCACUUAGUUACAACAAACACUUUGCCAUUAUCGAGCAUCCCAAAUCACUACAAAAUCCAUAGUUUACCAUAUACUACAAAAUCUGAGUUAAAAUAAGAGCAUACACGGAAGAGUCCGAAUGCACGGCACAUUGAAUUACUAGACAAAAUUUAUGGGACAAGGUUUUGGGUAACCGCAUGAAAAAUAUUGGAUUUUACUGAACACUUAGUUACAAUUACCAUGCCCGUGAGCACUUAGUCACCACAAACAUUUAACCACUUUAGAUCAUCCUGAAUCCCUAUAAAUUCUAUACCUUACACCGUACCAUGAAAACGACAAGAACAGAGACAGAUGCGGUGAAAAUCUCCAGAGCAAGCCUGAAAUUAAAAUAAGAGGAGGCAGUCACUAUCGACAGGACACGGAGAUUGCUAGCCAUGACAGAGGAAGACAUGAUAUGAUAUUCACCUCUGAAAUGCAGCGUAGACUAAAUGAAGCACAAUUGCAAGUGAGUGUGGCAGAUAAUGGACCAUCGAGACCAUCGAAUGGUAUGAAGCAUGAUUAUCACCUAGACAUGAUAUCCUAGACAGGACGGUGAAUUGUAAAAAGAGUAAUCUUGAUCAAAGAAUGUCCUAAUGAAACGGAACAUUUUUGGUACGUGUAGAGCAAAAUAUAGAAAACAGUAGAGUAGUUGUACGAUUGAAACUGCAUCCAUCGACGUGGUGCAUGAAUUGUUGAGCCAACACUGUGGACAUGUCUUCAUGAACACCAUCUAGUGAGGACAGCAUGCAGAAAAAUAUAAAAACAUGUCAUAGGGAGGCAGACCAAUCUUGCGAGGUAGACGAAACGUGAUACACGAUCUGCCUACCUUGUCGUGUGGAUACCCCAAGUGAAGAUGUCAUAGAGGUGCAGACCAAGCUAGCAAGGAGGUAGAUGAAACGUGAUACACGGCCUGCCUACCUUGCCGUGGAUAUUAGUCCUGAUAUCAUUCUAUUGUUCAAGGAAUAACACUCAAUGCUGCUGCUGCUGCUGACCUGGCUCCAUAAAGUUAUAUUCCUCUAGCCGCUUGCACUAACUUUAUCUGAAGUAUUAUUCUCUCUGCACUGUAUAUAUGGUUACGGAGUUUGCUGGAGUAUCCGGGGGGAAGAACCUACAUAAUAUGUCUUGGAACUAACUGACAUUGAUUCACAGACAAGGUGCUGUUGUUGACAUGGUACAGUAAAUAAUAUAGUUUACCAUAUACCGUAUACCAUUAUAUGUUAGCUAAAAUAAGAGCAUAACAUGUCGCAGGAGUCCAAAAGCACCGGUUGAGGACCAGGUACAUUAAAUUACUAGAAAACAAAAGGGGACAAGGUUUAGGUAGCCACAUGAAAAACAUUUGAAUUUACUGUACCAUGAACACUUAGUUACCAUGCCGGGAGCACCUAGUUAACACUAACAUUUAGCCACUUUAGAUCAUCCCGAAACACCAAUGACCCUCAAUAGCGACAAAUUUUGGUUUAAAUGCCGUCACCAAUGAUCCUCAAUAGUGACGUGUUUAGGUUUAAAUCCCAUCACUAAUAACCCUUGGUAGUGACGUGUUUUGGUUUAAAUCUCAUCACCACUGAUCCUCACUAGUGACGUGUUUUUAGCAACACACGUUAUGAAUGACUUGUCAUUGGUGACAUGUUAAACGCGUUAUCUCAAUGGCAAAUCAAUGGUGACGUGUUUAAAAAAACAUGUCACUGUGAGAGUUAUUGGUGAAGGGUAAUUAAAAUGCAUCACUAAUUUUGUAGCAUUAGUUAUGAUAUAAUUUUGUAACGCAAAAAUCUACCAUAGUAAUGAGGUUUAGAGCCAUCACUAAUGUGGGUUUCUUAUCGUAGUGAUGCAAGCUCUACAAGGUGCUGUUGUUGCCAUUUUAAAGCAUCCCAAAUGACUACAAGAGUCCGGUUGAGGACUAAACAAAUUGAAUUACUAGAACCAAAUGUAUGUCCAGAACAAAGAAAGGGGUCAAGGUUUGGGUAACCGCAUUAAAAACAUUGAAUUUUACUGUACCAUGAACACUUAGUUACCAUUACCAUGCCUUGAGCACCUAGUUACCACAAACAUUAAUUUAGCCACUUUAGAGGUUCCACAAUCACUAUAAAUAAUAUACCAACACCGUACCAUGAAAACAUCAAGAAGAGAGACGGGUACAUGGACCACCAUCAAGUGAGUAGUGACAGCACGCACAAGAAUACCCGGAACCUUUUAGCUUGUCUGUAGUGAUCUGUUUUCUUCGCCACAAAUAAUGAAAGAGGCUGACCAAGCUAGCAACGAGGUAGAGCAAACGUGAUACACGUAGGUUUCAUUCAAGACAUCCAUGUAAGAUUCAUUCAAAACAUUCAUGGAAAUUUCUUGUAAGUUUUCAUGUAAAUUUCAUUCAAGACAUUUGUUAGAGGUGUUGUAUAUACACUUAACGUACAUAUAUCUAUGAUUUCAUGGUUGUUAGUGAUGGCAGAUGAGGAGCAUGCAAGGUGUUUAAUGGAGCAGAUUAUUGCUAGUGGUAGUGGCUCCAACCUGCCCGUAACGUACACCGACGAAGAGGGCAGCCAGGCGGACAUGUUCCUCAACAUGUCCGGUGAUGGCAAUGAAGAGCCCGAGCAAAACCUUGCCGUGACGGAAGGUUCCAUCGAGGUAUAUAUCAUUUCCAUUAUUUUACCCCAUCUAUAAUUUCAUAUUCAUUAUUACUAUGUGCUAAUUAAUGAAUCUUGAACCGUUAGUCCUCUAGAUCAACGAACCGAAAUAAGCCCCGAGGUCUUACAAAGAUAAUGCAGGGAAGGCUUCACAUCAUGGAAGUCACAGAAGAGGGCACAUCGGUUGCUCCCGAACAUGUGGCAAGAAAGUACGUGAGUCAAACCGGGGCAAUCGUAAGGGACAACAUGCCCAUCAGCAUCAGGGAAUGAAAGAGCAAUAGAAAUGAUCUAUACGCACCCCCGGAUACACAAAAGGAUAUGUUGUGGGCAAAUAUCAAGAAACACUUCACAUUUCCCAAAGGAUAUGUUGAAAAAUAUGUGAAAGCGUGGAUGUUGAAGAAGAUGGCCACCCAAUUCCAGACAUUCAAGAAGAUGUUGGAUGCCAACUUCAUCAAGAAGGGUCGAACUCCGGGUUUCAAUGAGUGGCCAAAGUUAAGGGACCACUGGGAGUCGUUUGUCGAAUACAAGACGAGCGAAGGUGGUGCGAGUAAGGUUCACAUCAAUGUUGCCAAUGCUAGCAAGGAGUACCAUCAUCAUCUAGGGCGACGUGGUUACAGCUCUGCAAUUCCCAGAUGGCGCAAGAUGGAACAAGACCUGAUCGAUCGGGGUAUCGUACCAGCAACUCUUGACUGGAUCGAUUGAAAAAUUGGUAUUAUGCUCAUGAAGGCAAUCUGAGCCAAGAGGAUCCGACAUUGGUCUUCAAUAAAACAAUACGUCAGAAGGUCGGAAGGCUUAUUAGGAACAUUGAAGAUGCUAAAGCUGGGAGGUUCAAGGUGGAUAGAGAGAAUGAUGAACUCACAUUGGCCCUCGGGACUGUCAUCUCUAGCACUUCCAGCUCCAGGACUAUCGUCACCACCGGGACCGUCGCUUCCUGCUCGAUCACAGUCUCCAUCUCCAGCACAUCCUGGUGGUGCGAGCGACGACGACAACAACACCCCUCCCUGCCCACCAUUGCCGGGACUAAGACCCGCAUUGAGUAAGGAACCUGCAACACCACUGAAGAAGUCGCGACCACCACCUUCAAGGCAAGUCAGCAAAAGAAGAAAGCAGAGAAGCCUAAACCCACUGAGAAGCCAGCGACUGAUAUGACCGAUGCGGAAAGAUGGAAGGCACUCAAAGAAGAAUGCAGGGAGUGGUUCAGCGAAGGCGAAGGUGAGAAAGUCGUAUGAAUCGAAUUCAAGGAUAUAUAUGAAGUGAACCAUCAGGAUGCCCUUGAUGUCUCUCUCAUCAGCGCCUAGGUUCUGUAAGUGUAUGUUUAUCUAUAAGUAAAUUUUGGCUCAUAUCAUUAUUUUUUUUGCGUGCGUCACCCUACUAACUUCGUCUUCCAUUUUAUGUAGGAUGCUAAUUCAGACGUGCCGCAUAGAAGCGUACUUCCAUGUUGGAUUCAUGGAUCCAUCCCUAGUUAACCAAAAGCCGAUACGGAAGUAGCUAGAGAAAACGUUGGAGGUGGUGUACAACCUCCUGGACAAACUAAACUACAGAAUAGGGGCAAUAUGUGAGGGUCUUGUAGGAUUCCUAGUGGACGAGGUGAUAAAUCCAUAAGGAGAAUAUCAUUCCAACGGACGAGCAUUAGACACACUGAGCAACACCUAGAUGGGAGGAUCCUAGGAAUGACCUCGACAGAUUUUGGUAUAAAUAGUAAUUGUGUAAAUACUAGUUUGAUUUGUAUAGGAAUAUACUAAGAAUUGUAUAUAUAGUAAUUGUACAAAUACUAGUUUGAUUUGUAUGAAUACUAGAUUGAUUUUAUUAUAAAAAAGUUUUAAGUCGUACGUGCAUGCGCCUACAAAGGCGCGGAUGCCUUUUAAUCCCAGUCGGAAAAACAAACUGGUACUAAAGGGGCUCGUGCCGCACCUGGCAUGACCACCCCUUUAGUCCCGGUUGAACGACCCAGGACUAAAGAUCUCCGCGUCUCAAAAAUUUUAUCUCGGAUGCUUUUUAGAGAGAUUUGAGGCCUAUCAACCAAGACUAAUAUCGAGUUUUCUACCAGUGAAACUAACUAACGUUCACAUGGUUUUGACAUUCACCUGCCAUUUGGUGUAGACAAGGGCACCCUAACAUAUGGUUAAUAUUAUUCUUGAAAGAAAAUCCUUUGAUUCAAAAUACUUCAAACCUAAUAAUACAAUACUUCUCACAUCUGAAAAAUAUGAGACGGCCCGACAGUAUUCUAAUCGACGCAAUAAUAUUUUGAGGGCAGCACUACUACAGCGACCCUCAUUCGUGCCGGUGCUGGGACUCCUAUCACGACCCUGAUACAAAUGAGGGUACAUUAUUGGUGCCAGUGCUAGAACAGCCACGAAUAACUUGCUAAACGUGCUGUUACACUCACUACAGGGACCAAGAAGGUAGAUAAAUUACACGACAUAGCCUUGGUUGCCGUGGAAGCGCCAAGAAGGGAGACAAAUUACAGGGACCACACCAUCAAGUAGAUAGUGACAAUAUGCAAAAGAAUACCCGCGCCUGUUAGCAUGUGAACUGACCACACCACGAAACGUGAUACACGGCAAGCGUACCAAGGCCUUGCUGUGCAGACUAUGCAUGGACAACACAUGGUACCUGACCGCUUUUGGCCUCAGACACAUCGAAAAACUGCAUCGUUCCACGUUGUACAUCCAUUGCUAGUUUAUCUAUAUUACAUAAUAUAUUAUUAGCUAUUUGAAUAGAAUGAACCAAUUAAAAAAUUGCGUUGUAUUUUUAGUACCGGCUGCAGGAUGGUGUUACCAACCAGUACUAAUUGGCCUGUAGGAGUGAUGGUUAUUAGACUUGGUACUGUUGUUAGCAUCAUUAACCUAAUUGUGCGCCGUAUGAAUUUGGGGAUGCAAAGCUAGCUCUCUAUGAAUGUGAGGGAUGGAAAGCUAGUUCUCUAGUAGUAAUUAUAUAUAUGACAGUCAAGAAAUCGAACACUAUGCUGCUACGAGUCACCAUCAUUUCCUUCAUUGACAAUCUGACAUAGGUGAAGCUGCUUCAAUAAUUUCCUUCGCGCAGUCGUGGAGCUUAUUGGAUUAUCACCAGGACGGGACACGGAAAUGGCCAGCAAUGAAGCUGAUUGCCGUCUGAGGAAGACUACAUACUUACCUAUGAAAUGAAGCGAUUGCAUAGACUAAUGAAGCAUUGCAUAUUUGCAUGUGAGUGUGGCAGAUAAUUCUGCAGGACAUGAUUGCAAUCCACGCACCAUCGAGAAGACUGGGGCGAUGGGGUUGCCUCAUCAAUAAUCACGUGGAUGCAUGCAUGCAUGUUCCCGCAACCGGACAAGGGUCUGAUAUAUGGCUAUAGUAUUACUGAGCCCACAUCAAUAAUUUCCACUGGUGUAUCGUGUGGGAAGAAUCAACAUACUACACCUCGAGUUCUUGGAACUAACUGACGUUCACAUGCAACCUCCACAAGGUGCUGUAUGCUUUUGACAUUCACCUGCCAGUUCGUGUAGAGAAGGACACCCUAACGUAUAGUUAAUAUUAUCCAUUUCAUGAGUAAAAUACUGUGAUUCAAAAAUACUUCAAAUCCCUUGAGACAAUACUUCUCACUUGACUAACCACUAACCAACCCCGAAACCCUAACUCAACUCCGAACCCUAACCCCUAACGGCAUAACCACUCCGUUUUGCCGGCGAGAUGGAGGAACUGGCUGGAAGGUAGAGAGGGCAGCGGUCCAGGGUUGAAAACGACGGGCGAGCGCAGUAACAUGUGGAGGAGGAAGUGCCACGUAUUCGUUCACCGCUAUUGGGCAGCGACACACGACACGCCCAAUAAGAUCUUCGCACGGUAGAAGGACGUCAUGUAUUCAAUAAUGUUAUUGGUCCCCCAUGUGCAGAAGGGCGCGCGCGUAUGGAAUAACAAGUAGGGACACUGCAACUAAUCUACUCUGCUCGUCCAGUCCCUAGCCUAUAAAUAGAUGCCAUGCUAGCUCUUGUUGUGCUCACAAUUAAUCCGAUUACACACGAGCUUCUCUCCCUGGCCAAGACACAACCAUAGUAUGAUGAAGAACAUGGCACUAGCCGGCAAUGGUAUGAAGAAGUUAAUCCUCGCUGUUCUCUUACUGUGUCUAGUUAUAGGGCAGAUACAAGUGGAAGCUAAGAGCUGCUGCCCAUCCACCACUGCAAGAAAUGUCUACAAUACCUGCCGUUUCACGGGUACAUCCCGUCCAACGUGUGCAAAACUGUCAGGCUGCAAAAUUAUCAGCGGGAACAAAUGCAAGCCCCCUAACGACCACCUCACCCUUGACCCGGACACUGGUAAAUAAUAAAUUUAUCUCACUUGAUUUCUUCGUGAUUUGAGUCGUUAAUGUAUUUUCCAUCUGAUGAAACGUAUUGGUUUUGCAUUGAAGAGGAAGUUAAUGUGCUUAACUUCUGCAAGUUGGGGUGUGCGUCGUCUGUGUGCAACAACAUCAACGCUGGUAAGCAACUUUUGCUCAGACAGAGAAAACAAUAAUCAUUAAUUAGCGGCAGCUAGAAUCCUAUAAUCUAAUAUAUAUAUAUAUAUAUAAUUUUAUCAGCUCUGGGAAAUGAAGAGGCGAACGAUGCCGUUGAGAGUUGCGACCAAGCCUGCUCUAGCUUCUGCAGCGUGCAUGUUGGCAGCGCCACCGUGGUUGCUUAAGCAAAUGCAUCCAACUAGAUCGUCCUUGUGCUGAAUAAUUGGAUAUCGUAUCCACUUAAAGCUGCCUUGUGUAGUACGUCUUUGUGUCUCUCUUUAUAUUCCAAUAAGGUCGGUGAUCUUGAUGCCACACACUCAGAUGUGUGUUCAUCUCCAGAUACUACUCCAUGCUACCUGCCCUUUGUGUUUUGUUCAAUAACUGGGUAUCAUAUCCCAGCCAGUAUGCCGUCUGUUUUGUGUUUGUUUCCUUCUAGUUCCAAAGGGGUCAUCAUGAUGUUACCUUCUUUCAAUAUGGUGCUUUGCAUGACUACUGUUGUAUGGUACCAUCUUGUGGCCAAUAAGUACAUCUUAUCCUAUGACCUUUGCUAUGACCCUUUGCAAAUAAGUAGAAGAUUGUUAUAAGCGUCAAUACUCCGUAUAAAUUGAUCGCUGCUGUGAGUUCCCUUUCAGCUUAUCGUAGGCAUACAUUAUUGCUAGCACGGUAAAGCCAACCAACACGAAUGAUGAAGUAAACGUAGCGGUACUUCUGUAUACCAACACCCUUACUUAAAUGUACCGGUGUCAUUCCCUACUGGCACAUAUAUUCUUAUAUGCUAGCCAGCUUGUAAAAUUAACCAAUUAAAAUAAUUAUUUCAAGAUAGAAAUAACUUAUCGGUUUCUGGAAGCAUGUGUAAUGUGAAUUCAAGGACUCGACGGAAGUUGAAUCACUUCAUCUAUAUUGCUUUCAGUAUUUUGGGUAACUAAAUUUAACAUUUGCACAUACAAAUGUUAAAGUACAAAUGUUAAAUCUAGUUACCCAAGCAGAAUAUGAAGAUAGUUUAUAGUAUAUAUAUACUAUAUAAAUCUAGUUAACAUUUAGUCUAAAUGUUAAAUCUAGUUACCUAAAAUCCUGAAAGCAAAAUGUAUAAAUAUAUAUCUUUUAAGGCAGUAUAAGCUUCGAUUCCUAUUGCUGCUCUGUUAAAUCUCAUCUUUCGUUGUGGCCCAACACUCUAGUAUGCAUGUUGCACCAAGCUUCUUUGAGCCGCUCUGCCCUCUGAUUUUGCUGCGUAGGGGAAUCUUUAUCAGGUUGGGCUACUUCCAGUUGUGCGAUGUAAAGAUUCGUAUUUUCUAGAAGGUAGACAAAAAACUCGCGUUCUCUUAAGGCAACAACCGGAAGAUUCUGCAGCGCACAGGGCAUACCAUUAUUGUAGAAACGACCUUUAGUACCGAUCUCCAACCCCCUUUAAAACUGGUUUUGCAACCGGUACCGUUAUGUCGGUCCUUUAGUACCAGAUCAAAUAAGUACCGGUUGGUAACCAGUAUCAACUUGUUUUGCGGCCAAAAAAAUAAAGAAAAAAACAGUCAGAAGGCUCGCACACACGCGCAUCACAUGAAAUAUGCGUGUGCGGGGUCCAUGGGAUUCGAACCCAUGAAAUCAAGCUGCACGCGACCCUUCGUUACCAUCUCACCUACAUAGCGCAUAUGCUUUCCUGAAGUAACCCGUGGAGGAGGCUUUAGUACCGGGUCAUAACACCACCCGGUACUAAAAAUGACUCUUCAGUACCGGGUCAUAACACCACCUGAUACUAGUAUCGGAUGGUGUAAUGACCCGAUACUAAAAGGCCUCUAGGGACCCUCAAAUUUGAACCCGGUACUAAUGCUAAUAUUAGUAGCGGGUCAAAGUGCAGCCAGAACUAAAGCAUGGGAUGAAAGGUCAUAUUUCUAGUAGUGUAUAGUUGUUGUGAAGGACUGACUUGGCUGUCCUCUCUCUUCUCCAUCCCCUUGGUCUUACGCCGCCGCUCGCACGCGAGCCGGUGCCCAACCAGAGGAGUGAGAGCUAGGGGCAGGUUGGGAGGUGGGGAUAGUGACUGGUGGCCAGGGUGAUGGUUGAUCCUGGUGGGGUUAGGGUUUCAGGGUUUUCGAGCUUCCUAUGGUCGGCGAACCUAGAGGAGAAGCUCAACAUCAGCUGCAACCCGCGAUGGUGGUGGUUUGGCCGGCGCCCGAGGCGAGGCAGCGCGGGAGUGCUGCCGGUGGGUUGGUGUUGGCACUCAUUAUUGACAACUAUUUUGUUCAUAAAAUAACACUCAAACUUGCUGCUGCUGCUGCUGCCAUCGCCACCCUAGCCAUAAUAUAAAGGCAAAAUUUGCUAAAGGACAUGCAAAAUGAUGCUAGUUUGCUGGCGGGCAUCGUUGACCUUGUAAUAUGCUACAAGACACUCUAGUUGUGUAUCAAUUUGCUGAAAGACAUUGCUAUGACUAAAAUAAUGUUUCUGGACUGAGUUGGAGAGAGAGAUGGAGUGAAAUGUCUGUUUUGCCCAUGACCCCACUGGUCAGAUCCUUCUUCUUCCACCCUCCUUUGUUCUUUCUUCAACCAUUACCCAGCUCCAGCGUGUUGCAGAUCUACGAGGGUGGCGGCCUGGGGCGAGGGGCAUCGCUCGCCCUUGGAGGAGCGCUGCGAGCGACGGCGCGGGGGCGGCAACAGCGCGUCAGAACCUGACUGUUCGUUAGCUCCUCUCGCUGCUGGGGAAGAAGGAGGGGGAUGGGCCAUGGACGGGGUUCCCUUGAAAACCUCAGCGUCGAGCUCGGGCGGCUACGCGCAGGCAGCACUAGGCUGCUUCACGGGGAGGGGGCGCGGCCAAUCAUUGGCACCCCACUGGUCCAAUGCUGAUGAAGAUGGUGCCAGCGUCGUGUGAGGACAUCUCAUCUCCUCGAGUUCCAUGGCCAGCACAGGUGAGCUGCCGCUACCACAAAACAGAGGUUUCGUGAGAGUCAAAAAACCUUAUGAAAAUAGCUAAAACCAUCAUGAAAAUAAUCCGUGACAUGACACUCUCACGAAAAUCCUCUCACAAAUAUGGUGCCAUGAAAAUACCAUUUUCAUGAGAGUGAACUGUCAUGAUUUUAUAAGCGUCAAUACUCGGUAUAAAUUGACUACUGCUGUGAGUUCCCUUUCAGCUUAUCGUAGGCAUACAUUAUUGCUAGCACGGUAAAGAGAACCAACACGAAUGAUGAAGUAAACGUAGCGGAACUUUUGUAUACCAACACCCUUACGUACCGGUGUCAUUCCCCACUGCCACAUAUAUUCUUAUAUGCUAACCAGCUUUGAAAAUUAAGCGAUUAAAAUAAUUAUUUCAAGAUAGAAAUAACUUAUCGGCUUCUCGAAGCUUGUGUAAUGUGAAUUCAAGGACUCGAUGGAAGUUGAAUCGCUUCAUCUAGAUUGCUUUCAGGAUUUUGGGUAACUAAAUUUAACAUUUGCACACACAAAUGUUAAUGUACAAAUGUUAAAUCUAGUUACCCAAGCAGAAUAUGAAGAUACUCUAUAGUAUAUAUGUACUAUAUAAAUCUAGUAAACAUUUAGUCUAAAUGUUAAAUCUAGUUACCUAAAAUCCUAAAAGCAAAAUGUAUAAAUAUAUAUCUUUUAAGGCAGUAUAAGCUUCAAUUCUCUGUUAAAUCUCAUCUUUCGUUGUGGCCCAACACUCUAGUAUGCAUGUUGCACCAAGCUUCUUUGAGCCGCUCUGCCCUCUGAUUUUGCUGCGUAGGGGAAUCUUUAUCAGGUUGGGCUACUUCCAGUUGUGCGAUGUAAAGCUUCGUAUCUUUUAGAAGGUAGACAAAAUACCCGCGUUCUGGAAGAUUCUGCAACGUGCACGUUGGCGCUGCCACCGUGGUUGCUUAAGCAAAUGCAUCCAACUGAAUCGUCCUUAAGCUGAAUAAUUGGAUAUGGUAUCCACUGCUUAAAGCUGCCAUGUUUAGUACGUCUUUGUUUUUCUCUCUUUAUAUUCCAAUAAGGUCGGUGAUCUUGAUGCCACACACUCAGAUGUGUGUUUAUCUCCAGAUACUACUCCAUGCUACCUACCCUUUGUGUUUUGUUCAAUAACUGGGUAUCAUAUCCUAGCCAGUGUGCCAUCUGUUUUGUGUUUGUUUCCUUCUAGUUCCAAAGGGGUCAUCAUGAUGUUACCUUCUUUUGAGGUGUCUAUGAUGACUUCGUUAAUAUCAAUAUUAACCAAUUCAAUCUGUCUUAACUAUUUGUAAGGGGUAUGAUGUAUGCAUGAUUAUAACAAUGAUUGCGCAUACAAUCGCCGCCAAAGAAACGGUCAAUACCAUUAAGACAUAUUACAGACAAUUCUCAUAAUCUAUAAUGAAUAUACAUAUUCACUACUGCAGAAGACUGUCAUUUGUAUCGGCUCAUACGUGCCAGGGCAAAGGUCACCCUUGCAUUAAGUACAUUUGCACGGUAAAGACAACCAACACGAAUAAUGAAGUAAACAUGCCGGUGCUUUUGUACACCAACACGCUUACUUAAAUGUACUGGUGUCAUUCCUCACCGGUAGCCGGCUUGAAAAUUAACCAAUUAGAACAAUUAUUUAUUGUAUCGGUGUGAUUUUUGACCUAUUGGAAUAUGAAUUUGACCGUUACUGCAUUCGUCAAGACUCAAGAGAGAAAUAACUGAUCGGCUUCUUAGAGCGUGUGCAAUGUGAAAUCAAGGACUGGAUGGAAGUUGAAGCGCUAGCACUAGUAGAGAAACGACUUUCCAUCCACCCCCUUUUGUCCCGGUUUAAAGUUGGCUCGGGAUAAAAGGUUCACCAACCGGGACUAAAACUCAGUCACUGGUGGGAGGCUCACCAACCGGAACCUUUUAUCCCGGUUGCAAAGGCUAAUGGGAAAAAAAGACUCUGAGAGGCCUUUUAUCCCGGUUUGAAACACCAACCGGGAUAAAAGACCCCCCUUUUAUCCCGGUUGGUAACACCAACCGAGAUAAAAGGGUCAAGAGCCUUUUAUCCCGGUUGGAAACACCAACCGGGAUAAAAGACCCCCUUUUAUCCCGGUUGGUGUUUCAAACCGGGAUAAAAGGGCCCCCACGAGGUGACUGGAAGGUGACUGGAAGGGGAUUAAAUCGUGGGGGACCCUUUUAUCCCGGUUGGAAACACCAACCGGGAUAAAAGGGGGUCUUUUAUCCCGGUUGGUGUUUCCAACCGGGAUAAAAGGGUCCCCCACGAGUUAAUACAAAAGGAUAGUAUCCCCUACAUAGUCAGAUGUGGUGUGUAGGUGGGAUGGUAAGGAAGCUACGCGCGAGCUCCGGAAUUUUUUUUUUUUUUUUUUGCAGCGUCGGCGCUCUCUACCCUUUUAUCCCGGUUGGUAUUACCAACCGGGAUAAAAGGGGGUCUUUUGUCCCGGUUGAGUGACCCGGGAUAAAAGACCCCCCCUUUUUUCCCCGGUUAGUUUAUCCCGGAUGCAUUUUCGGGAUAAAAGCACCCUACCAACCGGGAUUAAAGCUCACUUCUCUACCAGUGUAGCUUCAUCUUCCGCUGCAAGUUAAUUGCUUGGAUAAGAAGUUGUAGCCGCUGCAAGUUAUAAAUAGUCCCGCUGAUGCUGUGCUCCGAAGUCUAUACUAUAUAUGCGGAAACUAGAUUGCUUUCAGGAUUUUGGGUAACUAAAUUUAACAUUUGUACAUAAAAAUGUUAGUUUACGAAUGUUAAAUCUAGUUACCCAAGCAGAACAAGAAGAUAGUAUAUAGUAUAUACUAUAUAAAUCAAGUUAACAAUUAGUCUAAAUGUUAUAUCUACUUACCCAAAAUAUUGAAAGCAAAGAAAGAAUAAGUAUAUAUCUUUUGUUGGAAAAUUGGUCCACGGAGAGGCCCAUUUAGGCCUCGUUCGUUUCACCGGGAUGGGAUUCCAGUCAGGAUUACUUCCAAGUUCGGUUUGAGUGAUUCCACCCGUGUCACUCAAUCCGGCUAGGAUUCAUUCUAUGGGUGAGGAGGUAUGGUUUCAAUCCAGGCCAUCUAAUGUAGAAGGAUUCCAAUCCAGGCCGGUUUUCGUUCCAGGCCAGACUAAAACGAACAACACUUUCAAUGCAAGUCUGGUUUCAAACCGGGCCAUUUCAAACCACCCGGAAUGGACCUCGUUCCAGGCCAAUCCGGUGAAAACAAAUGAGGCCUUAAUGGAAUCCCAAAGCAAGAGUUCAGUGGCAUUCUAUAGUCCCAUGCUGCUAGUUUGAGUUGGUCGAAGCCAACUUAAAUAGGAGAGCUCUCUCACUUCUCUAAAUACGUAACUGAAGGAGAGAAGGGGGCUUGGGUUACACAACGCACGCACGCACGCAUAUUUGCGUUCUUUUCGCGUAACCAACCGCGUGACUUGAAACUUGCGACGUAGCGUGCUGCUAAGUCAAGUUGAUAUAACCUUUUUGCCGUUUGCAUGUAAUCUUUUGACAACGGUCAUUGGAGGUGAUAAGCACGCAGUCAAUACCUUAAUCUUGAGUUAAUAGGGUGGUUACUACUGCCAAUUAGUGGGGCAAUUUUGUAGGGGAAACGGUUAGCAGAGGGCUACCGUCUUCUCUAUAAGAAGUUCUGGAGACGUCCAGGAACACACAUGUACAUGUGAGAGACCCACAAAUUCCUUCCCUUCUCCCUUUUCCAUGUGGUGAAGUGUGCUGUGGUACUGAGCUGCUUGAUCUCGCCGCUCUUCUCCUUGGCAUGCACCGAGGAGGAGGGUGAGCGGUAUCUCCGAGCUAUUGCCGUCAGGAAGCCUGCACGAGGGACAACAAAAAGUUUUUGGGUAGCGCAACUGCCAGCACAACUCUCCCUCCGCCUCUUCUUCACGGUUGAUGGCCACCACAAGCAUAAACCUCGCCUUCGCAUCCACGCAAAAGGGUCGCUGGGGUGCCUUCUUGCAUCGCUUCUCAGCCUCCUUGACUUGCGGCCAGCCAAGAACUGCGCCACCACCUCGGGUGCACGCCACCACUCCAGGGCUGCUACCCCAUGCCUGCGGCCGCCGCCGGCCACCACGCGUGUGCAACCGCGUCGCACCGCUUCCUUGCUUUGUGCCACCACUGCUGCUGUACCACCAGCUCCACCACCUUGGGCUGGUCGCCAGAGUGACUGAUAACUUAUUAUCUGUAACUACUAUUAACUCAGGGAUACAUGCGUCUUUUGCUUCUCCUACUAAUAUGUCCUAAAAUAUCUAGGAUGCCUUAUAUUUCUGGACAGAGGAAGUAUUUGAAUAAAAUGAACCAAUUUAAAAAAAUGUGUUGUACACUACUACAGAAAGACCUAUCAGUGUCAAACCCAAAAAUGUUGUCACCGCCAGUUUUGGGCAUCAUUGGUGAAAGGUUGGCGGUGAUGGGCUUUCCCUUCAACAACGGCACUGGAGCCGACGGUGAUUGACAUUAGAAAACAAAAAAGGGGACCCUACCUAGCCACCCCUGCAACCCGGCCGGCCGUGCCUCCCCUCAUCCCCACCACCUCGCCUCCCCAUGACCCCCCGCCGGCGCCCUUGCGCCUAGCCCCCUCAACUGCCCAGCCGGCCACCCUCAUCACGAGAGAGAGGUGCAUGUUGUAUAAUUGCGUGAAUUUUUUAAUGUUUAAUUUCAUGUAAGUUCCGUGUAAUAAAUUGUACAAGUUUUAUUGUAUAUAUGAAUUCCAUAUAUAUAUAUAUAUAUUUAUAAUUUAAUGUAUGGUUUCAUGUGUAUAUUUCAAUCAUGUGUAUAUUUAGUAGAUUGCCGAUUUUCUUUUUCUACUAGACAAGGGUUGAUGUAUAAUUACGUGUAUAUGUUUAUUGUACGGGCAAUUAGGACAAGUUUUGUAUAAAUUUCUUUUAUUUGAUGGUUGUUGUAUGGUUUCAUGUAUAUACAUUUAUUGUACUACUUUAGACAAUUUUUAAUUUAAUGUUUCUAUGAUUAGAUGUGUGUAUAACUAAUUGUAUUAUUAGUUAAGAUGGGAGCUAAAGAGGAUGAAAGGUAUAUAAUGGAGCAGAUUAUUGCUAGCUCAAACGUUGCAAGAACCUACACCGAGGGUGAGGGUAGCUAGGUGGACAUGUACCUCAACAUGUCCAGUGAUGGCAAUGACGAUGAGGAGCACGAGCAUGACAUCUAUGAUAAUGCGGAACAAGACAUUGCAGAAUUGGAAGGUUCUAAUGAGGUGUGCUUCAUGUUGACAAUCUAGUUGGCUUUUUUUCGUUGGUCACACCUUAGUUACCAUAGAACUUCGUCUCGGGAGAAGAUUGGUGGUGGUAUGGUGAUUGGAAUUUUAUUUCCACGAAAUCUGAUUUCCAUCGAAUCAUAUCCCUUGUAUUUAUCUUCUUUUUAUUUGUGAGAGCAUCUUCUUUAUGCUUGCAAAACAAUUCAAGUGCACAUACUACCCCUAGGGUGACGAUUGGGAGUAGAAAUAAUUGCCAACAAAACAACACCACAUCCUAAGAUUCUUAACUUGUGGCAUAAUUAGUCUAGUAAAAAGAAAGAUAAAAACCUAAUGGGUGUAUGUGAGUGCAAUGUGUAUAUGCAUAUGAGUGGAAGGCAUAUAAGCAAAGACAAUAUUUACACAUAGUUCUAAACACCAUGUUUACAGCUAGGUUGCUGAAUUUCUCCAUAGCCAUAGAGAUUAAUUAACCAAGGUCAAAACACGAUGUCUAUCCCAAGAUCAGUAAUUAUUUAUAGCACAAGAAAAAGAAAGCGCAUUGCAAAGUUUAUAAACCAACCAAUACAGCAUGAAAACAAGAUGAAUAGCUAGCAAGGUUUAUUAAACUGAAUGAUGACGGUCUGUAAGCAAGUUUAAACACCAUCUUUACACAAGAUUGCAAAUGGAAAAUGCCCAUAUGAAGCACUAACAUGGAUAUGAAAUCAUUCAUCAUAAAGCGUAAAGAACAACCAAGCCAACCAUAUGCAAAGCAUGAAUGGAAUGCAAUGAAGGUGCAAGAGAACAUUUUUGGAUGAACACAUUAUGAUGAUGGCAAAAUGCAAUGCAUGCAGAAAAAAUAAAUAUGAACAUGAAUAUGAUGAUCAGGGGCGGACCCACUAUUGUGGCCUGGGUAUUCCUCGGCAUACCCAAUAUUUUUGGGAAAAUGUUUAGUAGUUUUUAAUGGCAUAUACAUGUAUAAUAUAGUUUAGGUGUUAAAAUUGAUAUUCACAGCUAUUUUGGGCUCCAAUUCGCGUCCAAACCAACCUGGCCCACAGACCGCACCCGGCCGCCCGGCCCAUCGGCCCAUCUUGUCACUGAUCCUCCCACCACCACACUCAGCCCGUCAGUUAGUCAGGUCCCGAGCUCCUGCCUGACCUAGUCCGCUACCACCGCCAGGCGCCAGGCACAGCUGUACACGCCGCCCCCGUCCACCCACGUCCGCCGCACGGCCGCGUCGCGCCCCCCCCCGGCGCCCGCUGCUGCCAGAACCCAUUAGGCCUCCACCGGCAAGUCCACCCACAGUCCCGCGCGACGCGGCAGCCUCUUGGCUCUCGGCGCUCGCGGCGCGCCAAUGCCUGCGCAGCCCCAGCAGGCGACUGCCCCCCCCCCCCCCGCAUCGGGCCUCGGCCCCUCCCCAGCUCCCCCUCCCCCCUCCACCAGGACUGCCUGCUGGCCCCCACCGCGAGGUAAUCGAAAUGGACUGCUCAAUCUCUCAAUCUGUUGACAUGAUGCACACGGUUGCAAAAAUAGAUGUGUCAAAAUAGAUGUAUUGCCAAUUGCUAUAGAUGCAUAUGGUUGACAUGAAGAAGUCAAAAAUGACAUUUGGUUCCUUGUAGGCAGUCAAAAAUGAAGAAGUCAAACAAUAUUGAUCUGAAAUCAAUGCGGGAAAGGGCUACGAAGACACACGGGUAGAUUCCCUUGUGAACUUUUUAUGUCGUUCGUCUAAAUAUAUUUUUGCAAUGGGCAUACCCUACUCUGAAAUCCUGGGUCCGCCACUGAUGAUGAUGGUCUAAACAUAAAACAAGCCUAGAUUAAUUAGCUACAACUGAAAUUAAGCAAAGGUUAAUGUCAUUGACCCUAGCUCUAUCCUAGCUUUUACUAAAGUCCCGGCACAUAUAGUGGUUGGGCCCACUCUCUCUACUUCCCUCUCUGCUGCAUGCACACACACGAGCAACUGGAGGCCCAACAAAGCCCAGAAGGGUUCGGCCGAACCCGUCCGAUCCAGUCUGAGCGCCGCUCCCUCCCAGCCUUCGCGCAGAUGCUCCUCCAACGUUCCUUGACCCCUCCCUCAGUGUCCCAUUGGGUUUAACAUUGUAGGAGAGGAGUCCCUUUUUUAAAAUCUCAACCACCUCCUCUCCUCAUUCACUCCACUCUCAUCUCCAUCAAACUCACCAAGAUCCACAUCGGAAAUACCUGCUUACCACCAUGGCUGGCAAAGCCCUCGUCCCUUUCACCAACUUGGGCUUGACCAUUGAUCUCGAUGGGAAAAUCACUCCAGCAAAUGUCAUUGUCCCUGUCGGCGAUCUGGCGAUGGAGGAGGUCCAGGCACUAGAGGUCGAGCCCCUAGCCAUCAUACCGCCCAAGGGGUAAAGCAGGAGCAUGACAGGCGCUGCUAGGGGUUCAGCCGAACUCCCAGUUCAGCCAAACGAGGACGGCGUCGCCUCGGCCUCCCGCUCGACUGCAUGCUUCCCCUUGCCAAGGAGGACUCCAGAACAGCGGGCGCGUGCGUCAAGUCCCUACAAAAGGCUGAAAUACAAUGAAUAUCCAGGGUCACCCUUGAAGAUGGGUGAACGCUACGCCGGGUCCUUGUUUGACUAGUACGGCGAUGCAUUCUGCCACCGCUAUGUCGUUGUCGAGAUUAGCGGAUCAAGACUUAGACUAGUAAAUUUCUUUUAUGCGCGUAAGGCUUCAGAUGGUGGCGUGGGAGACAUGGGUUUUAUACUAGUUCGGGCAAUGGAAUACCCUACGUCCAGUGUCUGGAGCUGCUUGUGUUGCCCACGCGGGGUUCUGUAGUAGGGGUUACAGGUGUGCGAGAGAGGGAGCUAAUCCCAGGUCUCUUAGGCGUGUUCCGGUCCUCUAGAUGGGAGAAGUGUGUUCUGUUUGCUUGGGAGUAUCGGUUGUGUCUGAGUUGUCUCCGGAGCCUCCUCCCGUCUCAGGUCCCCGAUUCUCCUUUCAUAGCACAAGGAGACCAUCGGGGUUACAGACGAGACCGAGCGUGGGGAGGAGUAAAGAGAUAAACAUAGCUAGGUAAAAAUACAACAAGAAAGGGGGGAACCAAGUUUCUAGGUCACCGGCGUCCUCGCCGGCCUUCGACUUCCGCCGGCGCAUUUGUCGGAGGAGGGUGGCCGCCAUCGCGUUCUGUCGAUGGCUUCCUCGGUGACUGUAGCCACCGGGCGUGAUGAUGGCAUUUCGUCGUGACCCUUUGUCUGUUGGGGGAGGCGGCGGAUCCUGCCAUUCUGCUGACGGCUCGCGGAGUGCGAACGUCGCAUCCCUGCCGCUGGGCACGCGGGGCGCGAGAACGUGCGAGGCUUCCCCCUACCCCAGGCGGCGCAGGCCAUGAGUGCCCUGUGGCAAAUCGGAGGAGGCCGCAGCUACUGUAGCUUGUACUGUGCAGCCACGUAUGGGUACUUGUGGCAGGUUGCGUGGUGGAUGCGGAUAUCCUUCUCCCUGACAGAUCUGCGGCGCAUUUAUGGCGAGAUCGACAUGGGGACCCACAAGACCCGCGCCCAAGGCGGAUACUUGUCUGGAGGGCCCGGGUUAGCCUGACCCCCUACGCUUGGGGUCGGGCGAGGCGGAGACUUGCGGCGGGGCGUCGGACGCUCCCGACACUAGACCUGCGGUCGCGCAAGGCGGAGCUUGGUCUUCCGGGGGUCGGGGGUGCCGGACCCCAGGAUGCGGGGUCGGGCGAGGUGGAGCGUAAUUCUUGCCUCCCAUGUUGGGCCGAUGGCAGUCUUUGUUACCUCUAGUGGGCUUGGGCCUUUAUGUUUUGUUGUUUCCAUGGGCUUCGAGAGGUCGUUAAUAUUUCCCCCCAACAGUAGCCCCCGAGCCUGUGGUGGAGUGGGGGCGCUCCUCCGGAGGCUACUAUCAUCGCCCCUAGGGAAUCCUCGCAGUUGAUCCGGGAUAGGAGGUGUUGUUUGCACGGCUUGACCGAGGGGGUCGAUUAGGCGACGCAUCCUGUGAGCGACUCGGUGCGGGAGGGUUUCUUGUUGUUCCCUUCUGUCUGAGAGCCUUAAGUCGAGACCACCUGCGUGGCCUUUGGUUGCAAGGCCAGCCCCCGAGCCCCCGCACGUUGCAGGGGACCGGUCGGAGGCUAGGUCGACUUUUGUUCAUUACCCUCAAGCGUCUGUUCGCUAGGACGGAGGGGGCGAGCCGUGCCAUGCUAUCCUCAUCGGACGAACCAUGGUGCUCAUUGAGUUACUAACGGGUUGAUUCGAGUGGGAUCCCGGUCCCCGUUCGGGGGGGGUCCGGCUUGGGCCAAGCUGGUGGCGUACCCCAGGCUCCGGUCGGCCAGUUCAUAUAGUUCCUGAGUCCGUUCGGUCGGACCGGGGGCUCAUUGCCUUUCUUCGGGGAAAAACCAUGAACUUUGAUGCCGGUCCAGACUCGAAUGUGAGAUUGAGACGCCCGGGGCUGUCGCGUGCCCGGGUGAUGGCCGCUAGCGGACCCGUCUCCUCUCACCCCUCACUCGGGGGUAUCCUGAGGCGGCUGUCGAACCCGUGGCGGGCCAGCCUUCGAACCUCUGGAUCGUAAUGGGCCGUAGGGGCGUUUUCAGCCCCGUAUCCCUUUUUACCUUUUGGUGGGCCUUGGGCCGAAUCAUGGAGGAGGUCGGGCCUUGGGCCGGAUGCGGAGGAUGUCGUGCCUUGGGCCGGAUGUGGGGGACGUCGUGCGUGUCUUCCGGGAGACGAAGUGGUGGAGGGUGCCAACCCGCGAAUCGAGGGAGGAGGGGAUGUUUCUACUGCAGGUCAUGCGCACGGUUUCCGAAAAGGCAGCGGGCGUGACGGGACGUACCUCGCGCCGCAUUUAUUGCGAUGGGGGCGUCUGUUCUGCUUCCCUCGUGCCUUCCCUAUAAAACGAGGACUUCGCCUCGCCGGUUCCGCCCGCCAUCUACCUUCAAGCCUUUUCGCCUCCUCGCGCGCCCUUAGCUUUCCUGUGCCCGCUUCGUCUUCCUCCGCCCAGUGCCGCGCCCUUUCUCCCCAUCCGCCGUCGAGUUCUUCUCCCUCCGGCGAUGGGAUCCUGGGCGCGUUCCCACUUCGGCCCCUCACGCGCCGAAGGCCUAGUGAGGAAAGGCCUCCUUUGCGAGAGGACGGAGACGGAUGAGUGGGGGUUCCCUGAGAUGGAAGAGGUGCCGACUCCGCCCACCGGCUACGUCGUUUCCUUUGCCCACUUCCACGAGAGGGGGUUUGCGACUCCGCCGAGCCUCUUCUUCCGCGGGCUUUUGUAUUACUACGGGCUUGAGCUGCAGCACCUCAACCCCAACGGGAUUCAGCACGUCGCGGCGUUCGUUGCGGUGUGCGAGGGGUUCCUGGGCAUUGAGCCCAACUUCUCGCUGUGGAAGUACUUCUUCACGGUCAGCCUAUACCAGAAGGCCGAGAAGAGGGGAAGCCAGCAGCGGUCGACCCCGGUGCCGAUAGGGUGCGUCGGAAUCCACCUCUGCCAUACUCGCGCCAAGGAGUAUAUCGCGAUGAAGACCGCGGCAUCCCACAAGGGGUGGCACCAGCAAUGGUUCUACGUGAAGAACUACUCCAACCCCCCCUGCCGGAGUUCACCGGCCGCAUUAUUGAAGCGGCGCCGGAGGUGUGGGUGUACGGCCCGGUGGAGAAGGAGAAGAAGCGGAUCACCGGCCUGCUGCAGGCCAUCGAGCACCUGAAGGAGAGGGGACUGACCGGAGCCGGAGUCAUCGGGGCGUACCACGCCCGGCGGGUGGCGCCGCUGAUGCUCCGGGUCCGCUCGCUCGCCGACAUGACCCCCGGUGCUCUCACCGAUGGCACUGUCCUCGCGACGGGUGCUCUCGCUGCCUCCGAGAUCCGGCAGCGGAUCCGGGAGGCGCUGGAGGACAAGGACGCCGAUUACCCGGUGCCCGGCCACCCUCCGAUGCGCCCGGACGAGAAUUUCAUUGAUCUGGUAAGGAUUUUGCGCGCCAGUUUCCCUCUCUUGCGUUUCUUGGUAUGCCGUUCUGACGCGAGGCCCUCUGUGUUUGCAGGGUAGCAUGACCCGGGUCGUCGACUUGCGUCCGCCAGUGUCGGAGGACGCCGAGUGGCGGUAGCAGAACCGUCUCCUUGCCGAGAAGCAAAAGUGACGCAAGGACAAGAGACAGCGAAGAAGAAGAAGAGGGCCGCCAAGGAGUUCCAGCGGCGGCGGUGGGGAUAGGUCGUGUCGGAUGACGAUGACGAUGAGAAGGAGGAGGAGGAUGACGAGGAGGAGGAGGAGUUUAUCCUGUCCCCCCGGUCAGGGGCGCUUGUUAUCCGGGAGCCGCGCUCCCAAGCGGCCAUGGGGGACAAGGCGGGCGAGCUGCCUGCCCGGACCCGAUCCUGCGAAGCUUUGGGGGCGCGCCCCAGGGGUCGGCGCAGAGCGCCCCCCGGGGGUCGACGGAGCCGACCCCCAUCCCUACACCUGCAGCCCAGGAGCAGAGGAGCAGCGACAAGCGGCCGUUGCCAGAUGCCCCGGGGUCGGCGUCCAGCUCAGAGGCGAAGCGCGCGCGCCGCCCUUGCGCUGGGGGAACGUGAGUUGAAUUUCCUUGCGAAUCUCGUUCCUUUCCAUGCAUUGUGUUUGUUUCCGCUGAUGCUGUUUGUUGUCUCACAGCACCGCCCCUCAAGGCCUUGUCCCGCCGUUGGCGCCAAAGAAGGCGUUGCGGUGUUGUCGCCUCUGCGGGGCGGACCGCGGCUCCGCCGGCGGCGAGUGGCGGGGUCACUGGUGAGACCGCGGGUCCUACCGCGGAGGUGGCCCCUGCGGCGGCAACCGGUGGAGUGGUGCCACCGCCGGGCAUGGGACAGGGUCUGGACCCCGCUCCGUCCUCCGCCUCUUCGGCCGACCCCGCGGUGCAGAGUAUCGCUCCUGGGGGCCCUCAGGCCGGGGAGGUGAUUGACCUCGACGCCGACGAGGUGGAGGAGACGGCGGCGGUGGAGACGGGGGCGGUUGCCCCAGCGGCCAUGACGGGGACGACGACGGCGACGGGGGAAGGAGAGUCUACCCCCGCGGCCACGGCGGGGACAGUGGCGACAGAGGAGGCGGGGACGCCCGCCCCGGCGGCUGCGACGGAGGAGGCGGCGGUGACGGAGACGGGGGCUUCCGCCCGGGAAGCCACAGCCGAGGUGGCAGCGGCGACGGAGGUGAAAGUGCCUGUUCUGGAGGCCACGGUGGGGGUGGGGACGCCUGCCUCGUGGCCACGACGGAGGGCGAGGCGGCCCCAGGGACACUUGCUCCGGCACCCGCGUUGGAGGCGGUGGCGCCGACGGGUUGGCCCGUGGCGGCCUCGACGGGGGCGGGGGUGCGUGCGCCGGGACCGUCGGUGAGGCCGGCGACUUCCGGGAUGGUGGUGCCCGUCUUGACGGCGGCGGCGGCGCGGUCGGCCCCCGCCCUUGCCUCUACCACUCCCAUUCCCAAGGCGUGGAGCGGAUCCGUCCUGCGUUGGUCGUCUCGUGACGACCCGCAGAGGCCCCUCUUCACGUUGGAUGAUGCCACAGAAUGGGGCAAGUGGCAGGCGCUGCAGGGCGGACUCGCUAACGUCCGCGCCGCUCUAUCUUCGGCGUUGGGGGAGCUGGACGGCGUCAUCUUCCCCGGUGGCCGGGUAUGGUGCUUUCUCCGUUGGUUAUUUUCUUCCCGUUACUUCGUCCCUGAUGGCACAUUGUUCUGCAGGCCCUCCAAGAAUGUAGCCGGGGAAAAUCUGAUUUCCUUUGGCUCGAGCAGGGGCUCUGGGAGCGCUUCAACUUGGAGUUGCAGCGGACCGGGGAGCUGACCAUGCAAGUCGCCACCGUCUAGCAUGUCAUCGACGAUCUGCGAAGGCACGAGCAGGCGGCACAGGAGGACGCGCGGCGGGCGGAGGCCAAGUUCCAGGUCGUUGCCGAAAGGGCUCGCUGCGACCGCGAGGAGUUCCAGGCCGUUGCCGAAAAGGCCCGCCACGACGCUGAGGAGCUCGCACGGCUGAAGGUGCAGCAUGAAGCUCUUCAGAAGAGCGGCAGAGGGCCUGGCAGGACCGGGACGCCGAGAAGGUCCGGAAGGAGGAGGCUGAGAAGGUGGCGGCCAACCUUGGGGCUGAGGUCAGCCAGCUCCAAGUGCAAGCGCGAGAGCUUCAGGCCUCCGUGGCCCAGGGGCUCGACCAGGAGCGCCAGCUGAAGGCCUAAUCCGAGGGUAUGACUCUGUUUAUUUCUUUGUCUUUGUGAUGUUGCGGUGAUAUUUUAUUUGGCGGGUUCUUCUGGAUGAUCCUUGCAGAUGAGCUCAACUGGCUGAGGGAGGUGCUUGACGCGGAGCGCGCUGAGCACGGCGACCUGCGGGACGCGGUCCGCGUCAUCUGUGACUUCCUUAGUGUGGUCCAGGGGGAGGGGACGAGCUCGCUGGCGGCUCGUGUCCUCGGGACGUACCGCCGGACCAGCGAGAUCGCCCUGGAAGCGCUUCGCACCGGCUUGAGGCAAGCCUUUGGGGUCUUCGGCUCCCACUAUUCCGGCAUCAACUUCGCCGGGAUGAGCGGGGGAUACGCCACCGGCUACUACGAGGCCGAGCUGGAUGAGAUCGACGUGUCGGUGCUCAGCCCGGCGGAGGCCUUGGUGAAGCUCCUCGAGGAUGAGGCCGUCCCGCCCGAAGAUCCCCGGACGAGUUAACUAUAUCGGGCUGGCGCCCCAGAUGUAAAUACGUUAGGGAAAGACUUGUUUUUUGUGAGGGCCGUAGAGGCCUUUUCUAUGAAUUGUCGUAAAAAAGUUUUUGAUUCCCUUUCUUGCUUUUUGGACUUGGAAAGUUUAGAGCACGUUGUCGGGCGUGUCAGUAAGCUUUGAUGAGCGAAGGCACCGUAGCCGCUGGGGCGUCGUUUUUUUUGCAGUCCGAUCAAUCUUGCCUGAACACCGUUCGUGCACUUUCUCCUUUUUAUGCCCAAAAGUUCAGAAAGAGGGUCGGCUCGGAAAGAGAAAGCGUUUUGAGAGGGUGUCAAGUGGCUUAGGUACUUGCGGCAGGUUGCGUGGUGGACGCGGAUAUCCUUCUCCCUGACAGAUCUGCGGCGCAUUUAUGGUGAGAUCAACAUGGGGACCCACAAGACCCGCGCCCAAGGCGGAUACUUGUCUGGAGGGCCCGGGUUAGCCCGACCCCCUACGCUUGGGGUCAGGCGAGGCGGAGACUUGCGGCGGGGGGUUGGACGCUCCUGACCCUAGACCUGCGGUCGGGCGAGGCGGAGCUUGGUCUUCCAGGGGUCGGGGGCGCCUUACCCCGGGAUGCGGGGUCGGGCGAGGCGGAGCGUAAUUCUUGCCUCCCAUGUUGGGCCGACGGCAAUCUUUGUUACCUUGGGUGGGCCUGGGCCUUUAUGUUUUGUUGUUUCCAUGGGCUUCGAGAGGUCGUUAAUAUUUCCCCCCAACACUAUGAGGAGGACUUGUGGGCAGAAAGUCAGCUACCACAAACUUGCCUCUGAAUAUUUGGAGUGCAAACAUUGGAUGGUGGUUGUGGAGAGCCCCAGCCAUACCUCGCACCCGUGGAGAGGUAAUUGUCGGAUUGCUUGGUUCGUCUCUAGAAUGCGACAAGGUCAGGCGCCACCUCUCACUGCUGCCAGUCAGAAGGCCGAGGGGCCAGUUUCAACAUAGUAAUGAGAAUCUCCGAAGGCCAAUAUGGUUAAGCAGCUAACCUCCAUGAUCAUAGACUUACGUUUAGAAAAUAGGAGGCUUAGCGAUGCGUUAACAGAGCAGAAGUUAGAAACAGAAGAACUUAAGGACGACUUCCGUGUCCUCCGCCUUGGUCUUUGUGCUAAGAUAAAGCGCUUGUACAAUGCCACGGGGAAUGACGGUCUCUACGAUGCAGCUCAAUAGACGUGCCCCUUGUAUCCUUUCCUUUAGGCACUUUAGAAUAUGUUUAUUUGUUUUCCUUCAUUUUAAUUUCCAAUAGAUUGUUAGCGCCUCCAAUUUAAUUUCAAUAAAGUGUAGACUCACCGGUCAUCCAACUUGAUGGAGUCCUUUUGUCACCUAGUUGUCUUUGGAAGAAGUAGCUGGGUACAAAAUAAGUGUGGGGGAGAGCCACAGACUCUCUAGAGCUGAAACAAUGCACAACACCCACAAAUAGAGAAAACCACGCUGCACCAGCACGUACGUGAAAGUGGAGCCAGAGCUGGACCCAUAGGGGUUUGGCCAACCCAAGGGGUGGCCCACUCGGGCCAUCUUCAUCCACCGCGUCGGUUUGUGUCUCUUUACCCCUGAUCUCCCUGAUUCAUGAGUUUGAAUGAAUUUUAAAUCUGAUCAACUAAUUCAAACUCAACUAAAAUGAAUCAACUGCUCCACCUGCUCUACAUGUUUUCUAUGGUUGGCUUGCAUAUGUUUUAUUUCAUGCUUAUCAUCUUGAUGCUUGUGAACAAAUAUCUUUAGGACAGCAUGCUCAUCUAAGUAGUUGAUGUGUAUGAUAUGGUUCGAUGAUAUGAUCUUCACUCUUAAUGCUUAAGUGCUUGGGAAAAUCUAUUUGAAAAUUUAAAAGCCUUUUUGAAAUCUCCUCUUUGAUGUGCCAAAGUCCUACCAAAGCCAUAUGAUAAGUUAUCUUGAAAAACCAUUUGCAUAUGUUGCUUGUCUUUGCAUUGAGCUUUGUCAAAUUGGUGUGACCCUUGUCACAAUUCUUUUCAUACUUUCAUGAUCAAGACUCAUGUGCACGCCAUAUACCCCUUGCUAUGCUUCUAUGAGAUGUUAGCAUUGUACCAUCCAUUCAUUCCACAAAAUAAAUGCUCCACCAUAUGUGUUGGUCUCCUUCUAAGAUUAUUGUUACAAAAGAGAUAUGGGCUAUCAAAAAAAAAUAUGAAUGUCCAAGAAAGUUGGACACAUGAAUGUCCAAUAAAAAGAAAAAGAAAGAUAGCCAUGUCCUCAGAAAUAUUUACAAAGGGAGAGAGAUCAUACAAAAAGGAGUUUCCAUUCCAUCCACCACAUCCAUACAUGUGCACAUCUUGAUCUGAUUGUAUGACUUAUUUUUCUCUUUGGAUCUGGUCUUUGACUUUGCAAUAUAUGUGAUGCAAGCAUGCCUUAUCCUUCAUAGCCUACCUUGAGCUCCACAUAUAGCCAUCAUUAGAAGUAGGAUGAAGAAAGGCAAGUCUAAUGCCUUGGUGAGGACAUAUACACAUUGAGUGAUCUGAGAGAAUCAAAUGAGGAGCUAAGCAAGGUUUUGUUUUGAAAACUAAUUGAAAAAUCCCAAGCUACUUGGCAUAAGGAGUUGAGGUGACUUGAUUCAAGACCAUUACAUUCCUCAACUACCCAAGAUGGCAUGAUAGACACUCCAAAGUUCACAAGUGCAGGUAUGGUUUGGAAUAUCUUUUAGGCUCGCUUCAUACCUUUGAAAGUUAUGUUUCACCUUAGUCCUUUCUCGUUCACUCAAGGAUAAGCAAAGGCUAAGUGUGGGGGUGUUGUUGAUGGCUCUUAAGUACAAAAUCUGCGCCAUCAACUCUUGCAUAAACACAUAAAAUAUGAGCAUCAACAAUAGUGGUAGGAGUUAUUACAAACGAAUUCCACAAGUCUUGGUGAAUAUUUGUAUGCAAGCCCAAUAGGAGAGAAAAGACACCUCAAAAGCAAGGAAACACACUCUCAACCAAUCAAGAGCAAGCACAUGGAACCAUGGGCCCACAACCAAAAGGAAAUCGACUACAUUCCAAACACCCUAUACCCACAUGAGAACCCAUAGGGCAGUGACCCAGAGCAAAGGUGAUGCCAGAGUGUAGAUGGUAGUUAGCAUGCCAAAUUUUGAACCGCAAGCGCUCGGAUUAGUUGUUUCUUUUCCCUUAGAGAUUCCCCCAAGGUUUAUCAAUCCAUGGAACAAGGGAUUUGCACGUUUCACUAAGCACUAAUCAAUGUAAUUGAAAGCUUUUCGAAUAAGAUAUGAUUAUGCUAACAAAGGAACUAAGCAAUCUAGAUUAAGAUGGAUAGAGAGUACAGGUUGUGAACAAGAUAGAUUAAACGCUUGUAGAUGCAAUCACCAUGCAUGAAUGAAUUAGAUCUAGGUGUUAUUGUGAGUGGUUGUGAACCAUGCCCAACACUUUCCCACCCGCAACAUUGUCACUACAUGUGGGUACUCAACUAUCGGAACAUAAGAACACAUCAAGAUGAUCAUUCUAGGUAAGCAAAUAAGCAACCCAAAGUAGCGCUGGCCAGCCUUUUCAUGAAAGAGCAUCAUCAAGAUAAGAUUGAUAACAAAAUAGAUCUCAACCAAAGGUUCAGCGAUUACAAAUCAAGAUCUUCGUAUAACCCCGAUGACAAAUAGAGGUAUUACCCCCAUGAUCUUACACAUGUUGAUGAAUUUUAGGGUAAAGGACACCCUGUAGAUCAACUGGACCAAAGAUGAUGAUGAACGGGGGCAGGGAAGGCCCAGGUUGAUCAGCCUGCGCACUUUUGAGCCGAUCAGCUCAGGGGGUUUCCUCCUCCCCUGGUGCUCCUCUUCGCGUGGCCUCCUCUGGAUCCAAUCUUCUCUUCAUUUCUCCUACUUGUGGCGGCAAUGGAUGGUGUUUGCAUGGUGAUUUCCUCUUCUCCCCAACUCUCCCUCCUUGAAGUCCAUGAGGGGGUAUUAAUAGUCUCCAAUAGGCGGCAGCUCUGGGUCAAUGUCAGUGAAAAAAUCCUAGAGAUCAUCGUACACUUCAUGCUGAGGAAACAAGAGGUUGACCGAGCCCUGGGAUAGACCAAGAGGAUCAUCCUAGAGGGUCCCAGGCUAAUCGGUCUAGGCCCUUCCUAGCCCUUCUAGUCCUCUCCUUCCUCGUGCUGGCUUUUCUCGAUGACCCUUGUCCAAAUAUCCAUGAAGCUCUAUAUACAUACCCCCUUGAUUAUGUUGUAUUUCCUGUCAAAAUACAAUGCUCCAAAAUACAACACAUAUGCAAUAAUAGGGUUAUUUCAGGUGCCAAUUGGUGGGUUAGUAUACGAAUAAGCAUGAAAAUACUGUUUAAAUGACACUAAAAGUGUGUCAAUAACGAGCACCAACAAUCCCCCCACGCUUAGAUCUUGCUCGUCCUCGAGCAAGUCUAGCGACUAAAAGAUCUUGAAUUAAACCUGAGCAAGCGAGUCAAGUACCUAGCCUUGAAACAAAAGAUUAGAGGAGCAGCAAAGAUAAUCAAAGUCUGGGUGUUCAAAGAUUUAUCUAAGCAAAGAUUCCCCUACAACUAUUAUUCAGAACCAAGUAACUUCAAAAAUCAACUACACUUAUUUUCUGGCUUUUUUCAGAGGGUUUUUCUUUCAUCAUAAAACAAUCUCCCUGCAACAAAAUUGAAAAAAGAAUUAUUUUCAAGGUGCUUACAUGUCGCUUAAAUGAAUGUUGGCUAUCCUACUUAUUUGCAAGCUCUCAUCUCUCAAAAUUCAUUCAAUUAUAUGGUGGAGUUUGGGUAAGGUUAGCUAGAAUCAACACGUAUAUUAUUGAAUUAAGAAAACCCUCUAACGGUGGCCUACCUUCCGAGCCAUUGAUCAUAAGAAUAUCCACAUAAUGUGAAGUUUUCAAGGAUGAGAAGAUAUAGAAUGGUGGACAUGUGCAAAGGCAAAGAAAUAUAGUGACUCUGAGGCACAAGCAAUGUCCUCGUCGUUGGAUUGCAUAUGGUUGUAAUGAAAAUAUGUUCCUUAAACAAGUCUAUCUUUUCUUUGCACCACUCUUGAUCUUCAUGACAGUAAAAACUCCUCCUUUAUUUCUUUCUCUCUUUUCCUAUUAUUUCUUUUUAUUUGUCUCAAUACUUUUAUUUCUUUAUUUCUUUAUUUUAAUCUCUUCUCUGAACCUCUUCUGAACACCACAUAAUAAAAAUAAGUUUUAGAUCCUUCCAGAGACCUUCCAGGAAUUUGCUACAUGAAAACCGAGGCAAGGAGACCCCAGGCCGAUUGGCCUAGCCACUCCUUUGCUCUCCUCUAGCUCUUCUUUCUGGUGAAGCUUCCUUAUCUUGUAUCUUUCCAAAAAUUUCAUAAAGCUCGACUAGAAACGGAACAGAUCUUCAUAUAAUGAGUUGUGUUCAAGGAAUUGGUAAUAAAAUUGAGAAAUUUGUGGUUCGGGUUUACGAAUUCAGUACAAAAAUAUGAUUGUUCCAAUGAAGAACUCUCAUUACUGAAUAUUGACGAGGCAAGCAUUCAAAGAUGGUAAAAAGGAUAUGAUCAAUUCUCAAAAUUAAAGCAAACCAAGAGAGAGCGAUCCUAAUUCAAUUCAAAGUGUCAAAUGUUGCUUAUGGUGGUAUGAAUAAAUAUUUUUAGGCAUUGGGUAGGAUAAAUAAAAACUCUCAACCUGGUUAAAAGAUAUUGAUCAAUCUUGUUUUUGCAGAGGUUUUAAAUAAAAAAUAAAAUUUUAAAUCACCUCCAAUUCAAAGCCUUACUCAUAAAUCAUAAUCAAAACUGAAGCACUUGAUCAUCAUAAAGCAUGGGUAUUGCAUAAACAAAUCGAUUACUAAAACUCCACAACUACGAUUUAGAAUUCAAGACAAUGCUCAUAAUCUAAAGUUGCAAAGAUAAAAUAAAAGACAACCAAGCCAAGGUAGACACUAAAAACACUUGCACGAUCCUUGAAUUUUAUUCAUGCUUCUUCUCACAAAGACGCUAAAGUAGCCAUGUAGGCCUAAGUCUUCCCAAAAGCUUAAGAAAACUACUACUUUAUCUACUUUUGGUUGAAAUAAAAAGACUAAUCUAGACUCUCACAUGAUUCGACUCGACCAAAUUAGAUCCAAAAACUCAUACGAGCGACGAUCUCCCCCCCCUCACGCUUAAAAUCUACGACCUCCUCGUCGUAGCCAUAUGGAGUACAAGGAAAAGAAGCUUGUAAACGCUCUAAUGACGCUACCCGCACUACUUGCACACGGGAUGGUUGCUGCUUCCUUCGCUUUGUUCUUCCUCAUGUUGCUGCACAUCCCGAAGAGCUUCCUCACGUUCCUCUGCAAGAACUUGAACUCGUCCUCCUGACGGCGAUCAUUAUCUUCUGCCUUUUGAUCCAGAGCUUGUAAGGCUUGCAUGAUGUCAUCGAACGCAUCGAAGAGGUAGUGGAUGUUCUUCCUGCAAGCUGUGGAACAUGUACGAUCAUGCUCCUCCGAUUCUGGCCCGUCGUCUUCUAGAUCCUUCUCUUUGCCCUUGUCUUGACGGUGGCUAUCUUGCUCCUUGCUCGCCUUCUUGCCUUCAGCCCAAUCCCAGUACGUGUUGUCAUCUUCUUCAUCGUCACGGCCUGCAGCACCCUAUGAUCCAUUGUCUAUCUUGUAUGAAAGAAUCAGAAGCUUGUUCUCCUCAGGGUGUCUUGCGCGGUGCAGCGUUUGCAAGUGCAAGACUUGCUAGUUCCUUUUACACAUUGUAAUGUUCAUUGCAUGCUCUAAUUGUUCUACAUUUGUAAUUUCUUGGUGAAGUUUGGUUACUGAUCCACUGUUUGAUUAACUCUUGGGCCCAAACACUGUACUACUUCUGAUUAGAUAUCUGUAUCUUGACUUUGACCAAAAAAAAUAUCCGGCAGUUUUUGCCAUUAAAGUUUCAUAAAUCAUCUUGCAAAAAUCGUACUAUACAACAAGGGACGGUUUAUUAUAAAAUAUACGUUCCCCUUAUCACAUGCCACUUCCACUCAAAAGGCAACGAAUCAGUUUUCAAUCCUGAGUGAGCAAUUUGCUUUUAUUACCGAUGCCUCCUAUUCCCUUGUGCACCAAGUUUAUUUUGGAUAGGGCUGCAAAAAACGACUAACCAGCUCGGAUUCUCCACCUGCAAAACCGCAUCUGCAGCAACCAACCCCACGCGGUGGAAAAAAAAACAAAACCUAGAAACCGGACGGGGGUGGAUGUGGGGCUCGGAGCCCAAGCAAAAAACGGAUCGGGAGCGCCGGAGCAGGCCAUCACCGGAUGUUAGAGAUAGAAAAUGGUUGAAGUUUGGAGUGGAAAUCAAACAAGCCUUGGAGCAAAGGAAAAAAAAAGAUCAAACCACUCAAGCAUUCAUUUGAUUUAGAAAAGAGAACAUUUGUUAAGGUGGGGAGUUGAAAUCAUCUUUUAAUUAGUUCCACGUAUCUGGUAUCAUUACAGUUGGUUUACUUGUGUAAGUAUAAGUAGCUCUGCCGAAGCCUUUGCUCCUAUAAUUUAGUAACUAGUACAAAUGGAUCAAUAGGAAAAUCAAGUUGCAAUCAUUUCUCAGCCAACCAAACCUAUGUAAAUCAAAUUAUUGUCCAUGCCCGGCAUGCACAGGUGCCUGCCAUGCAUGCAUUGUUGCUCCAUUGUAAUAACCAUUAUUGUCCAUCGAUGUUGCAGCGCAUGUGUGCACUGUGCAGACACCAAGCAUCGAGAUUAUGUACUAGUAAGGUGUUGAAAUAAUGGGCCUAGCCCAUAAGUAAUUUCAGAAUUUCAAAUAAAUCUCAAAGGCCCAUGUGGGCAAGAGGUGGAGUGGUGCAAGUCUUUAGUCCCACAUUGCUAGUCGAGGGGAGGGAUGACCAACUUAAAUAUGGAAGUUGUCUCCACUCCUCCAAGCUAUGUGUGAAGGGCGCGGGCGCGAGGCACUUGCGUGAAUGGUCCGCCGAAAUCUGGCCCCCCUUGCGGGGGCGCGGCUUCCUUUUGCCGUUUUAUUUUUUGGUUACUUGGUCGUUAAGUCAUGGAAUCCUAACCGGUUUAGAUCACGAUCGUGAAGGUUUUUGGGAAGCGCUCUGCGCGACUGCUCGAUCGCUUCUUCCGCUUCGUCAAGUUCUUCGUCGACUCCUUCACCACGGCUCGUCUACCUCUUCGUCGCUCGGGCCUCACUCGUCGUCGCGAACAACGUCAGGCUGCUGAUCGUCGUCGCCUGCUGUAUCCGGUAGUCGUCCAGGAGCCGGUUUUCAUCAAGAAAGAAACGUACGGUCUCUUAACUCACAUUAUGUCUUCCAUACUAGCUAUUAUGAUUGUUGCAGUCUGAUAGCUCUGGAUAGUAUGGUAGAAUGUCUGAUUCUAUUUGCAAUGAUAGACUUGUCUAGAUCUUGCGUAGACAUGUCUAGUUUAAUCUGCUGCUUGUUCAUCAUAUUCAUGAUUUAUUUCUGGAUUAAGUUAAAACUAAAAGUGCUUAUAUAUCCAACAUAAGGUACCAAGAACACGUGAAGCACCCGGGGGAGGCUGCUCCACUCCGCAUGCACAGGUGGGCACGGCACCACUACUCGUCUCCUUCAGGCUGAGGAUAAGUGAUGUACGCUGAUCAACAGACCACGACGGAACCAGCAAUAAUAGUUUCAGCCUGCCUCACAGUAAUUAAUAUAUCCUGUAUCCUCCGAGGACCCCUCCCCUUAAUCUUGGCCUAUUGCAUCCAAUAAUGAUAUGUGUGUUUAUCCAAAUUUACGGCACCUUUGGCGGGGGUUCCACCCAGCUCCGCCCUCUCCACCUUCGGUACUCCAUGGGAAACCAUUCCUUUGGAAUCAAGGAAGCUUGAACAGUAUAACGAAUAAAGUUUCAUAUAUCCAUUUGAUUUCACAUGAAAUAAAAUAUUCUGUCAGAACCAAUGGUUUCACUGAAGCUCCAGGCAGCGAGCGAAGGGGUGAGAGAGGAUAACGCUUACUGUGUGUUACCAUCGCGUGCACCAUGGAUGACCAACGCGCAGCCGAGAUGAAACGGCGGACCUAAACAGGUCCUCGCUAUUUUUGCAGGUUCUCGACCAGGCCAGUUCUUUAGGCCAACCUAUCAUUCACGAGUUAAACAUACGGUGGCUGGAGAAAUGUUCUAUUCUUUUAAACAAUACCAGCUGGUUCCUCCGUUUUUAUUCCACCAAUACAAGCACCACCUUGUAACAUUUCCUAUGUUUUUUUUCCUUUCGUCUGUUUUCUCACUACAUGCGUUGCUCUUUCAUGCAUUUUUUUCCAUUCCUGUAUUCCAAAUAGGUCUACAUGAACACAAAAUGAACUAGGGGACAGAAAAAGCCAGUGAAGUUAGUUUUGAGCUUCACCAGCUACUUGCUACAUAAAGUGUGCUAUAGUCGCAGAAAAGCUAAGCUGGAUCAGACGUGGCCGAAACAAUGCCAAAGAGCUAGGUCCCUAGCUGAUGGCAACACAUCAGAUGACUAGCCUGCUUUUCUGUAAUAAUGAUAUUGAGCAAUACACUGCAUGGCUAACCUGCUUUACAAUAAUUGUCAUUUUAUAAUAUUGGUCAUCACGAGAGAUGCACAUUGCAUACACCGGCCCAUCCCUAUAAAUAGCCAAGCCUUUCAGCCAUCUUGGGCACCUCCUCUCAGGGCCUCGUCUCACCAUCAGACAUCUCGUUCCCAGUUAUAAUUUGCGAGGUUAGAUCAGGCUGCGCCAUGGCGUCCGCAACUGCUGUCAAGAUCGUCGCCACCUUCAUGCUGGUGCUGACCAUGGGCCACCUGAUGGCCGAAGCAUCACCGCAGCCUCGGCGUGUGCUUGCAGAAACGGAGCAUGCUGCGGUGUCCGGGAAUCCUGGCCUCCCAGGUGAUGCUAGCGUCAUGCAGGUCCUCGAACCCGCCCUAGUUUCUCGGCUUGCCUGCAAACCAGAGUGCACAGUCCCUUGGCCUCCUUUUGUAUGUAUCUGCUAGAUCCUCUUCCUGGCUCAACGGAACUUCAGGGAAAUGGCUGUGACGUCGGCCAAAGAAUAAAUUGGAUGAACAUAAUAUACCCCGGGUAGUGUAGCUUGGGCUUUUGUUGAGCGUCUGGUGCUAGUUGUAUUUUGUUUGCUCAUGUGGCUUUGCUUCUGGUUGCAUAUUGGCUUUCCUAUCGCUCUCUGUUGCAGCUAUGGUUUCUGCCAGGUGUGUGUUAAUGCGGUUUGUAAGCGGUGCUUGUUCCUACCUUCUGUUUUCAAUAAAAGAAGUCGGAGUCUCCCUCCGACUCUUGUUAUCAGUCAACAAAAAUGAGUUGUAUCAUAUAUAUCUGCGUCUUUUUUCUACGUAUCUUUGGGCUGCUUCAGCUGGAAGUUUAUCGUAAGUACGUGUAUCAGGAUGAUCGUUUGAAUUAAAACGAAAUGAUAAUGUGUGGCUGCUAGAAAUGGAAUGAGCAUCUUACUAUAUUACUAAUUGGAAGCCUCCACGUGAAGCCACCUAGAAAUUCUAGGUGGACGUUUUAAAAAAAACAAAACUCAUAGAAGCCUCCACCACCUAGGAAUCCUAGGUGGACACUCUAAAAAGAGACAAAUCCUAGAAAUUCUAAAAAAAGAAAAAAAUAAUAACAAUAAGAUUUUUUUGCAGUCAAUUACAUAUAUUUUUUUGAGACACCGUGCUGCUAGCUCUUGCCAUUGCGACCAGUAAAGCAAGCAGAUAGUAAGAUGACAUGCGUGUGGAUUGAUUAAAACAAAUUCAGUUAGUUGAUUCUAAAUCGUAUGUAUCCUAAAAGGAAGAUAUGUGCGUGCAUGGUCCCUAGCGAUGACAUGUAGACAUGUAUUGCAAUUUCUUUUUUAAAAAACAUGUCUAUCUCUAAACCAACAAACAGAAAAAAUAUCAAUCUAAAUCUAAAUCUCUUCCGUUCUCACACGCCUAUUAAAGAGAAGACAACCAAUCCCAUCCAUGUUCCAUAGAAUCCAUCUAAAAGCUUGCUCACUGCGGACGGCAUUUGACGGCAAAUCAAUGAAAGAUCAUCCUCUCCAAAUAGCUGGACGGCAUCACCAUCUUUAUCUCACCAACCUACAGAGCUACAACGAUGUUGUAGAGAUCAACUAGGUAACCUACCAAUCACCCUCCCCUUUUCUAUAUGCUCUAAAGAACACGUGGAGUAAUUAUAGGCCUAUAGGAGCCGACUAACCUAGAUUAAUAUGAAAAAUAUUCCAAUAUUAAAAGCAAGCAGAUAGUAAUACUUGCCUUUGACCAUUUUUCUAGAACUGUUAUUCCUAUUGAAUGUUCAAGUGCUACGGCCAGGCAUCGAAUGCCUGCACGGAACCUUCCUAUUGAAUGGUUACUCUAGAGAUCAACGCACCGCGAGACAUUUUUAUGGAAUUUGUUUGAUUCCCCUUCUACAAUUAGAUUAAUUUUUCAUGGCAUAUAUUACUACUAUUAAAUUAUUUGUUUAUUGUCGGGCCUGCUGCAUGUGUGGUAUAUAUGACUUGCUUCUCACCAUUGUUCUCAAACUAUUAUUCCUAUCGAAUCUUUCUAUCGAAAUAUAUUUUAAUUACUUGAUUGUUGUUUGUGUACCAUAACUUCUGUAUAGAAAAAUUCCAUGUUUGUAGAUAAUGUCUUUUGUAUAGAAAAAUAGCCCAAUUAGAUCCAUCACCAUCUUUUGCUUAUGUAGUUGAACAAGUUGCAAUGUUGAACAAAACUUUAAGUGAAAUUAGACCAGGAAAAGGAAUUGUGGAACAUUAAGGCAAGGGUAACCAGAUUGUGGAAUGCAACCUUACUCAGUAGUGGCGAACAAUUAAGUCUUGACAUGAUCCUUAUUGAUCAAAAGGUAUGAUAGAUGUUCACUUUGAUUGCAUUAUUGGUAUAAUUUUUGGUUUACAAAUUAUUAAUGAUGAUGCAAAAUUAGGGAACCAUGAUCCACGGUGUUAUCAAUAAGCCCUAUAUGAAAAAGUUCAAACCAUUGAUUGAAGAAGGCAAUGUGUACAUAAUUGCAAAUGUCAGAAUCACACCAGAACCACAGAAGUAUCGGCCAGUGGAAAAUGACAGGAUAGUCAACUUCUUACCCACAACUGCACUAAAAACGAUCAAAGAUACUGAAGACAUUCCAAAGUAUAGUUUUAACUUCAUGAGCACGGAUAUGCUUUCAGCAAGAAUAAAUGUGGACAUGUACCUAUUAGGUAAAACAUUACUGGCUUUUCAAUUUUUACACUUCCACUCAUUAAAUGACCAUCUAAUAAUAAUACAUAUUUAUGUUUCAUAGAUGUUAUAGGUAUCUCAGCUCACAUUGGACCGAUAGAAGAAACAAGGACAAACUUCGGAUUUACUAAAAUCCGUGAUAUUGUGCUCCUGAUCGAGUAAUUCUCUUUUCUUUUGUAGAAAACAACUACAAAACUUUCAACAUUUACAUGUAUGUUAUAGAACUUCUGUUGAACUAAAAAAUAUCUUCUACAGUGCCCCUACAAAUAAUUAAUUUCGUAGUUGGAUAUUUAAAAUAUUUAUUAUUCACUUUUAAAUUUGUGGCCAUGAAGUUAAAGUUAGAUUUUGGGGAGACAAAGUUGAGGAAGUUGAUGAUAAGACAAAAUCCCAUGUCAUUGCAAUAACAUCUACAACUGUGAGUAAAUUUGGCAGUAAGUCUUCAUUCAAUAUGAGUUAUUCAAUAUUAGUCAUUCAACAAACUAACCUCGUAAGAAAAAUAAAUAAUUGAUGUUUUAUCAGGGUAUUCUCUAUCGUCAACCAAUGCAACAAAACUUUAUGUAGAUCUACCUAUUCCUGAAACUAAGGAUGCACAUGAUAGGUGAGAAAAAUUAGAUAUUGUUUUUCUAUUUUAAUCUAUGUAGCAUGCACUCUAACAUGAUACAUUCUUUCAUAUGAUAAAAAAAUGUUAGUUCAAUUGAAAAUAUUGUCAAAGAGAUUCAUAUUGAGGACCAUCUAAAAGGGACAUUGGAAGACCAAAUGCAGUACAAUAGAAGAACUUUAGAAGAAUUAAAUUUCAUAUUAUUUGAAACAUCAAAUCAGGUAUGGAUUAGUAUGUUCAUUGUACACUAUACUAUUUAAAGACUUACAUACAUAAUGAUGGUAUUGUUCCUACUUUCAGGAUGAGGUAUUUACUAUUGAAGCAACAAUAAAUGAAAUUAAUGCAACAUAUGGUUGGUUGUCACACCCGAUUUUAAGGACAAAAUUGAGUGCAUUAAAUACAUGUGCACCAGGAUCAAGUUACACACAUCCUAUGAGUACCGUCCUUCUUUGGCACAAAGAUAACCGGUGCUCCCCAUGGUGAUGAACUAGGCCGAAUAAACUAUUUUGCUGAUAAUUCCUCUAGUUGUUGUUUCAAUUCUUUUAAUUGUUCAACCAACAUUCUAUAAGGACGUUUGGAGAUAGGUGCAGUACCAGGUAAAAGAUCAAUAGCAAAUUCAAUGUCGCGGUCAGGUGGCAUACCUGGUAAAUCGUCGGGGAACACAUCCGGAUAGUCACACACCACUUUGAUAUCUUCCAAGGAUUUUCCAGCCAACUGAUUAACUGCACAAUCUGCUGCUGAGGGUAGAGUAGCUACAAACUCCACUUUCUCUCCAUCAGGACCUGUUAGCAGAACUGUCCUCUUGGCACACUGAAUCGUUGCAUCAAAAGCGGCUAACCACCUCAUCCCCAGAAUUACAUCGAUUCCACUGGACUCAAGGACGAUAAGAUCAGCCGGAAACUCUAUACCCAUUAUUCUCAGUUUAACUUGUGGACAGAUGUAUUGAGCCUUCAUUGACCCCCCAGGUGAACUCACUAGCAUAUGACGCCUCAUGGUAUGCAUGGGUAAAUUAUGCUUUGCUACAUAAUGACUAGUGACAAAAGAAUGCGAUGCUCCAGAGUCAAAUAAAACUGAUGCGGGGGCAGAGUUGACAAAGAACAUACCAAGCACUACAUCUGGAGCCUCCUUAGCAGUCUCGGCUUCCAUGUGGUUCACCUUGCCACAAACAAAGCUUUGCUGCCCCUGAUUGCCUUGUGGGGUCUGGUUCCCAUUCCUCGGUUGCUGCAUCUGAUUCUGCCGAGGAGCACUGCUGUUCUGCACGGGGGUAGCUGGCCCACCUCUCUUAGGACAAGAGCUGGCAUAGUGACCAACCUCGCCACACUUGAAGCAGGUAGGACCCACUGGAGCAUUGGGCCUUGUUGGAGUGCCAGUAGGGGUCAUCUGGCGGUUCUGCGUAAAGCUUGGGCGCGGAGUCUGCAUAGUCUGCAUCCCUGGAUGCUGGAACUGAGGGCUAGGGCGCUGGAAUGACUGCUGAGCAGGGCGCGGAAAUGAGUGCUGCCAAAAAUUCCCACUCGGGCCCCCUGCGCGGAACGGCGUCCCUUGCUGUGGAGCAAAGCGAGGGCGGGUGUUGCUUCCUGAAGACUACUGGGAAUUGAAUUUCCUCUUCAUCUCCCCGAGCUCGUUCCUCUUGUGUUCCAGGCCAAUUGCCUUGUCUAGCAUCUUCUGGAAACUGGGGAAGGUGUGCGACAUAAGCUGAUAUUGGAGUGGUCCAAUCAACCCAUCCAAGAAUAGCUCCUGCUUCUGCUCAUCAUCAGCAACAUCUUCGGGAGCAUAUCGGGACAACUGGACAAACUUGUCCCUGUACUCUGCCACUGUCAUGUUCCCCUGCUUGAGAGCAAGGAACUCCUUCUUCUUAAGCUUCAUCAAUCCGGAAGGAAUAUGAUGACUUCUGAAGCUAGUCCUGAAUUCAUCCCAGGUGAUGCCAUUAGCAUUGGCAUGGGUGGUGGUGUAAGCAUCCCACCAAUCAGCAGCUGGCCCUUCCAGGCGUCCUGAAGCAUACAGGACCUUCUCCCUGUCAGUACAUUGGGCGAUAUCCAGCAUCUUCUCCACUGUUUUCAGCCAAUCAUCAGCAUCUAAUGGAUCCGGAGAAUGUGAAAACGUCGGGGGCUUGUGGCUCAUGAACUCCCUAUGCCUGUCCCUUGGCGGCGGCUGCUGCUGGUUGUUGUUGUUGUUAUUGUUCAGCUGAGCUUGUAAAGCUGCCACGGUGUUGGUCAGUCCGGCGAGAAGCUGAGUCUGAGCUGCUAGAAACUGCUCCAUCCCUGCAGGUGCUUGUUGGUUCUGUUGCGGAGCGGUGUUGGGAUUGCUGCUGUUGUCCCUGUGGCGUGGCACUGUGGGACGGUCAACUCCUGAUCCGGACCUGGUGUUUACCAUCUGAGCGUUAGAGACAAUGGAUUUAGAUAGAUGUGUGAAAGAAUAACUGAGAAAGAUAAAGCGACCAGAUGUAAAAGUAACACAGAUUCUGUUAGCUCCAUUUAAUUAGGUGUGGUCGUCAGAAGAAGUGUCCAUAAAUUCUGAACAAUUACCAAGUCGUAACUUAUUAAAUUUGUAAACCAACCCAACUGGAAUCAUCUCAAUCGGACUUCUGGAUCUCGAGUUACAAAAUUAACAAGCUGACAGUGUCGGUCGAUAGGUUCAGAUUCUGAGUGCUUUACUAAUUCGCAUACACCUCCCAGACAGAUACACCAAAAAUUCUGAAAAAUUUACAGAUAGUACUCCACGAAAUUCUGAAACUAACCCCACUGGUUUCAUGUCAUUUGGACUUCUGUAGCUAGAGAUAUAAAUAAAAAAGUACUGGCGUGUCAGUUAAUGUCGAGAACAGAAUUGAAUGUCGCUUAGCUUGCGUGAUGGAUAGAUUUAGACAGAUGGUAGAUCAUGAUUAAGGAAGAUUAAAUACUGAUUUAGAACAGAAAUAAAACCCAACUAAGCACUUUAUUUAUUAAGACCAGUAUCGUGUGGCAAUUGCCCCACAUACCGCACUCAUUACAAAAUCCAACUCAAACAUGUAGCACAAAACCAAUCAUCUAAGCACACUUUAACUAACACACUCGAACGACGUCUAACGAUUACAAGAAUUUAAACUAAAACACUCCUAAUUUCCUAGAGGUCUUCUGCGGCGGUGCCGGGCGAGUCGUAGCGGGGACGCUUAGGCGACGGCGACGAAGCGGGAUGAACAGCAAACUCCUGCGGCGGCGGUGCUCCCGUCGCGGCAGCCAUAUUCGCAUCCCUCUCCCACCGGAGUUCCUGAACCUCCUGUUGAAGCUCCUGGAUGUGGUUGUUUGCUUCAUUCAAUGCGGUGAGAGCUGCCGACGUGUACUUGCGGAGGAAGUCUGUAGCCAUGUCAACCCCAUCGUUAGUAGCGAUGAAGGUUCUUGCUUCCCCACUAGCUCGGUAAGGAAGGAACCGAUGGUAAGUGUGCUGCAAUCGCGGCCGUUCCUUGUGGGAGACGACCUCAAGUGCCCUCCUGGCGGCCUCGGCAAUGCCGGAUUCCAUGGUCCUCCUUAUGGUCACAUCAUGGUGAAAAGCCUUCACCUCCCAUCCUCCCUCGUGCUCCUCACGAAGGACAACCUUCACCUCCCAAAAAGUGGGAUAGCGAGGGUGGGUGAACCGGGAGCACUUGUAGAGUGGCCUCAUGCCGUACCCCAAGCGGUGACAAGUCCACCUGAGUAUGUCGGCCAUGUGCACUCCUUGGCCAUAAUCUUCCUUCACCCAUUUGAUCCAUGUCUCGGGCUCGGGAUCUGCUUCGGGCUCAUCAUCCGUCAAGUCGACGACCGGUACGGGCGUCGGGGCUGGUGCAGGAGCGGGCGCCGGUGCUGGCGACGGUGCUGGUGACGGCGUGGUCUCCUGCUCCACGGUCACGGCGUCCCCGUCAGAGUCAUCCCCCGGAUGCUGGAAGAUCUCUUCCUCUUCUUCCUCGUCCCAAGGCUCCAUGGGGGCGUACGACGGCGCGAUGCCAUGACGCGGCGGACGGGUGCUCUUGCGUGCGGUCAACCGGGUGCGAGCCAUCUAACAGAAAGAAAGAAGAAAAUUUUAGAAUAAAAUUUUGAACAAAGCUAGAUAAUAAAAUAGCAAUAAGGAUGAGACAAAUCAAGUUUAAGAAUAAUUAAGUAGAUUUAAAUUAAGAAAGGUAGGAAUGGCUACUAGAUUAUUAUAAUCCUUAAAUACGACCAUUUUCUAACUAGGCUAACGUCCUACAGUCAACACGGCUCUGGUACCACUUUUGUCACACCCGAUUUUAAGGACAAAAUCGAGUGCAUUAAAUACAUGUGCGCCAGGAUCAAGUUACACACAUGUACGACAAUAGUGAAUAGUAAAGCCAGUGCUAAAUCGAAUAAAGAGAGUAUUAACCAUUAUUACAUGACCGAAUGUCUCAAAUAAACCACAAAGUCUAAUUAUUACGCAGCGGAACUCCAAAGAUGACGACGACUCCAUAGGCAGCUGACUGAAGAAACGUACGCCUAGAACUCCUCGAAGUCGUGGAAGUACUCCUCUUCCCAAUUAACUUGGUCUGAACAGCGGUUUUGCAAGGGUGAGUACACUUAUGGUUGGUACUCAACAAGUCGUGGGAAGUAGUGUAGUGUAAGGCUAAUUCAAGGUAUGGCUAAGGCGUAAAUAGCAUUCGCUUUUAAUUAAGUUGGUCAAAUUUUAUUAGCAUUUACUAAGUAUAAGUUCAUACCACCCGAAAUUAAACAUGAACAUAAAGUAAACCACAUGUGCAUGAAAUGAUAACAAAUUAAAUCCAUCUUCCGAUAAUAUUAUCAUGUGAGGGUCCAGGCCGCUCUUAACCGUGAGCACGGCUGAUUGAUCAGUUUAACACUCUGCAGAGGUGGCACAUCUUUACCCACAAGUCGCGUAAAAGUUCAAAAGAACUUUGGACCCAACCAUGCGGUGUUUGCAAGGCACCAUACCACACUUCCGAGGUGUGAUUGCAUAGGGACGCUACGAGGCCUUUACAAAGAUUCAUUAAUCAGUGGUAACCCGCUAAGGUUUCGGUGUCUGGCGUGCACCACCCAUCCCAGGUAAAAUGCAACGACUCAGUCCCCCCCCUUGAAUCAUCACGAGUAAGGUCACCCCAGACUAAGGUUUCUAAUUAAUCAGCCAAGACCAGAGCUAUUUAGUCUUGUGGUAGCACUGUUUUCCUGGGUGGUCGCUCCAUGUUCUGAUUAACAAAUAAUGAUCUUGUCUUAAUGAAAGGUAUAACAGAAAUAAGGCAAGAUUAAGCAUUGUUUUUAGUUAAACCACCAUGUACCAAGUAAGCACUAAGCAUGAGCUACCCAACAUAAAGUAAACCGGUUGGUCAAGGCAAAGGUAAAACAAUCUAGGCCAACCUUAAUUGGGACCCAUCAAUUUAAUCUUAAUAUGUGCACAGCAUAAAUGUUGAGUACGAGAAAGUAAAGGUGUAUAGGACAAAAAGGUAGUGAUCAAGGACACGACUUGCCUUCUUGGCCUUGCUCCUGCUGUUCGUACUCCUCGAAGGCUUGAUCGGCAACUCCCUCGAACUGCGGGGCGUCUACACGCAUCACACGAGCACAUACAAGCAAACAUGGGCAAAAGUAAGAAAACAGUAUACCAAACAUAGUCAAACAGAGAAAACAAGCUUGAAAAGAUGAUCUACGCUUUAAAACGAACACGCGGAUAUAAAGAACGCGAAAAACGGAGUUAAGAUGCAAAAGAUAUGAUUAAAACAAAAUCCAGGGACUUUUCUGUAAGAAAAACAAAACUUUUAGGGCCUAUCCGCGAAAACCGAGGGCUUAUACGUAAUUAUGCGUAUAAACCGAGGGUCUGAUGCGUAAAAACAUCAAACCCGGACGGCGGGUUGAUUUCUGGAAAGGUCAAGGGUUAAACCGAAAAAUGCGAGGGCAGAUCUGUAAAUACUUUCAACGCGAUCUGGACCGCGGGUUGAUUUGCGAAAAAGGCGGGGGCUAAAGUGCAAAAACUGCACGGCGCGGCUCGGUUGACCGGUACGCGAUCUUGAUUGACUCGCGUCCGGCCGUCGGAUUAAGAUCCGACGGUCGCGGUGAUCCGCGACAUCGCGGCGGCGGCGGCGAGCGGCGGCGAGCGGCGGCAAGCGGCGGCGGGUCGCCGGAGUUAGGCAAAAUAGCGCCACGAGGCACGGUUUAACGCGCGGGUUGCACCAAAAAAGAGAGGGGAACACGUCGAUCCCGUUUUGGGGGUUCUUGUCGACGGGGGCUCACCGGCGACGGCGAACGGCGGCGAGGAAGAGGCGGCGGCGCUAGGAGCUCGGGCGGCUAGGGUUUCGGGGAGCUGCGGCGCUGGUUUUGGGCGGAGGAGACUGGGAGGAGGCGGCGGCUUUUAUAGGGCUUGGAGAUAGAGCCGGCGCGGGUUCAAAUCCCCCGGAGGAGUCGGAGCGGAUGGAGUCCGGGGCGGAGACGGCGCGCGGCGGUUGCGGAGUUCUGACCGGAUUCGGCCGGAGGUGGGAGACGAUGGGUGGGGUCCACCCGUCAGUGGCGGAGGGGAGCGGUAGACGGGCCGGCGCGACCGUGGGCUGGCGCGCGCUCGUGGGCUGCGGGGAGCGGGAGAGAAGCGGCGAGCGGGCGCUGGCGGAGCAGGCCGAGCGGAGGUAGAGCUGGGCCGCGGAGAAAAAGGAGGAGGCCGGCGGGCUGCUUCGCAGGCCGGUAAGGAUGAGGCGGCCGGGCCGAAGAAGAAAAAGAAAAGGAGGGACAAGGAGCUUUCGGCCGAGGGAAAAGAAGAAGAAAAAGAAAAGGAAGAAGAAAAGGGAAAAGGUUUUGGAAUUUGAAUUUAAAUCUGAAAUUCAAAAUUUGAUUCAAACUCAAGCAACCAAAAAUUAUGCUCCAGCAUGAAUGCACAAAUAAUUCCUAUGAUGAAUUAAUUGAAUUAAAGAAAAUGAAUUUAAAUGCCUAGAAAUUAAAUAACACCCUAAUUUGAGCAAAUUUUAAUGAAUUUGAAUUAUUGAAAUUUUGGGUGUUACAUUGGUACUACAUCUCAUGUAGUAGAGGCGAUUGUAAGAAGCAACUUGAAAAGAAGUUUGAUCACUACUAUUGCAAUAAAUGUGACAAGAGAGCCGAACCUAAAGCCCAGUAAAUUAUUUAGUAGUUUACAAUCUUAUUAUAAUACUUCUAUUUCUAAUAGGAGAAUAAUAUUUUCAGAUUCAAAUUAAGCUUCAAAUAAGUGAUCCAACAACAAGUGCAACUUGUGUACUUUUGACAAGGAAGCAGAAAUGAUAAUUAAUGAAUGAGCAGAUUCGAUGAUCACCUCAGUUGAUCAUGAUAAUAAGUAGCUACCAAAAUCAAUUCAGGAAAUAUGUGAAGAAACAUUGAUUUCUCAAUUCAGAUUGACCGAGUACAACUUGACAAGUUUUAGACCUGAUUAUACUGUUUCAAAGAUAUUUUUUCCAAAAGAAAAGGGCAGUUCAAGAAUUGGUAUGGAAAGUGUAAAAAAGGUAACACUUUAUUAUUAAUUUUUUAUUGCACUUUUUUCUUUUGAAUCCGUAAUACUUAAUAAUUUUACUAUAUCAAUGAAACAAAUUCUAACCUAAAUUUAUUUUCUUUUUUAUUAUUUGUAGGAAGUAGAAGACAACUCAGACAAAUGCUACACGAUAACUACCGAGAAUGAAGAGGUAGACACUGAUGACUCUUUUACCGAGAAAGUAACAUUCGUAGAAGAAGCCAUAAGGACUGGGGAAAGAUUGGCUAGAAAAGUAUACUCACUUCCAUGUCAGUGUUCAUUCUAUUUACAAUACAUGCAAAAAAAAUAUUAUUCAUGCAAAAUUGCAGGUCUACUAAGCAUUAAAGGAAUAGCGGAUAGUGCAAUAUGUAAUCUGAGCAGCAUGCAUUACAAAGUGCUCUACUGCAAUUAAAUUAAAAAACAUGAUAUAUGUUGAAUUCUUAGACUUUAUUAUUAUACUUUUCUACGUGACAAUUCACAAUUUUUUAGAAAAAAGAAGAUCCCAGAAGAAGUGACCAUGAAAAAAGGUCUAUGACCAGCAAUAAGAAAAAAUGCAAGCAUAGAAACAAAUCCGUAGAAAACAUAGAAAAUAAGGUACUCCAUAAACAAAAGUAUUCUCUUAUAUUUUUAUUAAAUAUUUUUUUAACACUUGACAAGUUCUUUUUUAGGAUCAAUAUAUCAGCAAUUCAGAUGUCAUUGGAGAUGAAACCUUAGUUCAUCCAAAAGGUCAAAAAAAAACAUCUGAAGAAAGGUGUUUGGCUGAAAAGGAAAAGCAAAAAAGUGGUAAUGCAGACAAACACAUGCAGAAAAAUAUAAAAACAUGUCAUAGGGAGGCAGACCAAUCUUGCAAGGAGGUAUAGACGAAACGUGAUACACGACCUGCCUACCUUGUCGUGGAUACCCCAAGAAGAUGUCAUAGAGGUGCAGACCAAGCUAGCAAGGAGGUCGAAACGUGAUACACGGCCUGCCUACCUUGCCGUGGAUAUUAGCCCUGAGAUCAUUCUACUGUUCAAGGAAUAACACUCAAUGCUGCUGCUGCUGCUGACCUGGCUCCAUAAAGUUAUACUCCUCUAGGUGCUUGCACUAACUUUAUCUGAAGUAUUAUUCUCUCUGCACUGUAUAUAUGGUUAUGGAGUUUGCUGGAGUAUCCGGGGCGAAGAACCUACAUAAUACGUCUUGGAACUAAUUGACAUUGAUUCACAGACAAACUCUACAAGGUGCUGUUCUUGCCAUUUUAGAGCAUCCAAAGGACUAUAAAUAACAUAGUUUACCAUAUACCAUAUACCAUAUACCAUAAUAUGUUAGCUAAAAUAAGAGCAUACACAUGUUGCAGGAGUCCAAAAGCACCGGUUGAGGACCAGGUACAUUGAAUUACUAGAAAAAGACAGGGGACAAGGUUUAGGUAACCACAUGAAACAUUUGAAUUUAUUGUACUAUGAACACUUAGUUACCAUGCCAGGAGCACAUAGUUAACACUAACAUUUAGCCACUUUAGAUCAUCCCGAAUCACCAAUGACCCUCAAUAGUGACAAAUUUUGGUUUAAAUGCCAUCACCAAUGAUCCUCAAUAGUGACGUAUUUAGGUUUAAAUCCCGUCACUAAUAACCCUCAAUAGUGACCUGUUUUGGUUUAAAUCUCAUUACCACUGAUCCUCAAUAGUGAUGUGUUUUAGCAAAACAUGUUAUCAAUGACUUGUCAUUGGUGACGUGUUAAAACGCGUUAUCUCAAUGGCAAAUCAUUGGUGACGUGUUAUCUCAAUGUUAUCAAUGUUCUAUUCUUUUCAACAAUACCAGCUCGUUCCUCCGUUUUUAUUCCACCAAUACAAGCACCACCUUGUAACAUUUCCUAUGUUUUUUUUCCUUUUGUCUGUUUUCUCACUACAUGCGUUGCUCUUUCAUGCAUUUUUUUCCAUUCCUGUAUUCCAAAUAGGUCUACAUGAACACAAAAUGAACUAGGGGACAGAAAAAGCCAGUGAAGCCAAUUUUGAGCUUCACCAGCUACUUGCUACAUAAAGUGUGCUAUAGUGACGUGUUUUAGCAAAACAUGUUAUCAAUGACUUGUCAUUGGUGACGUGUUAAAACGCGUUAUCUCACUGGCAAAUCAUUGGUGACGUGUUUUAAAAAAACAUGUCACCGUGAGAGUCAUUGGUGAAGGGUAAUUAAAAUGCGUCACUAAUGUUGUAGCAUUAGUUAUGAUAAUUUAGUAACGCAAAAAUCUACCAUCAGUAUUGAGCUUUAGAGCCAUCGCUAAUGUGGGUUUCUUACAUAGUGAUGCAAGCUCUACAAGGUGCUGUUGCUGCCAUUUUAAAGCAUCCCAUGACUACAUGUUAAUAACAUAGUUUACCAUAUAUCAUAAAAAUAUUAGUUACAAUAAGCACAUACGCAUGUGGAAGAGUCCGAAUGCACCGGUUGAGGACUAAACACAUUGAAUUACUAGAACCAAAUGUAUGUUUAGAACAAAGACAGGGGUCAAGGUUUGGGUAACCGCAUUAAAAACAUUGGAUUUUACUGUACAUGAACACUUAGUUACCAUUACCAUGCCUUGAGCACCUAGUUACAACAAACAUUAAUUUAGCCACUUUAGAGCUUCCAGAAUCGCUAUAAAUAAUAUACCUACGCCGUACCAUGAAAACAUCAAGAAGAGAGACGGAUACAUGGACCACCAUCAAGCGAGUAGUGACAGCACGCACAAGAAUACCCGGAACCUGUUAGCUUGUCUGUAGUGAUCUGUUUUCUUCCCCAUAAAAUCCAUGAGUAUUGCCACAAAUAAUGAAAGAGGCUGACCAAGCUAGCAAGGAGGUAGAGCAAACGUGAUACACGGCCUGCCAAGAUUGCCCUGGAUACGCCAAUAAGAGCGACAGAUACAUGGAUCACACCAAUAUGGUGAAACGUAUAUUCAUCACACAAGCAAAGCUGGUCAGUUUAUCCAUGGUCAAAUUGUGGUCUUUGUUUUCACUUGAGAGCUAAUUGAGGCACUAUAAUAUGGGCAGGCCUAUCUUCAACAGACAUGACAGCUACAGGGAACUUGACAUAAUUUGCUGGGCCGCCUGUGCACAAUUAUUUGUUUUAUUGUCCUUGCAUAGAAUGCUAAAAUACUCUUUACAAAAUGUUGGAUCUAAUAUUUGAAAUAUAGAGUAGUAAUCAUAUAUUGAUCAACAACUUGAAAUUAUCUGUACAUUCUCGGUGAAGCUGUUGAACUAAUUUUUGCAAAUUAUUAAUUCAUCUCAUUACGUAAAGAAAAAAGUAAGUGGAUAAGAUAUUUCGUGGACCACAUCACUGCAAACAUGUCAUGGAGAGACAGACCAAGGAGGCAGGACGUGAUACACGACUUACCCUAGGUUGCCGUGGAACCGCCAAGAAGAGAUACAGAUACAUGGACCACACCAUCUUGGGAGUAGUGACAGCAUAUAUGCAGAAGAAUACCCCGUGCCUAUUUGCAUGCAUGUCUCAAGUGAUCUGUUUUCUUCAGAAAAUACAUGAGCAUUGCCAGAAAGAAUGGCAAGAGACAAACAUGUCAUAGAGACUUGCAUGUCUUGCCUUGGAUACGCCAAGAAGAGGGACACAUACAUGGAUAACACAAAUCUAGUGACACGUAUAUUCAUCACAAAGGCAAAUCUGAUAAUUUUAUCCAUGGAGCAGACCAAGGAGAAAUUGAUGACGGACAUGUGAUCUCUGUAUUCAGUUGAAAGCUAAUUGAGCUACACUAAUAUGAGCAGGACUAUAUUCAAGAGACUUGUUGAGAGCUACAGGGAACUUGUAAUAAUUUGCUGGGCGGCCUGCGCACAAUGAUUUGUUAUACAUAGUUGAAAUAUUUCAAGAAUUUAUCAACCUCAUACUCUGAAACCCUUGGUGCAAUGUACUCUGCUUUCCGAGGUAGACUGUUCACGUAAAAUGAGGUCAUGCGUAAGACGGAAUCGGAUUGGAUUCACAGGGAAUCAGAUUUGGAUAGCACCUUUUAGCAGGUUUUUAGUCAAAUGCAAAUUCGGAUCCACAUGUGGUUGAAUGCGAGUUCAAAAUUCUACUUGGAUAUCCAUUUAAUUUAGGUGAUAGCAAUUAGCACAAAAUGUUGGAUGAACAAAAUCAUAGUUAGACAUACAAUUACAUGUAUGGUUAAAGUAUAAUACAAUACACCAAGAUUAUUCCUUGAAAAUAUUUCUUAAAAAUAUUAUAAUAAAUGAAUAAAUAUAAUUGUGGCCACCAACAAAUAGUCGGUGGUCGCUAAGUUGGAGCCAUUUCUGGUUACUAAUGCGGCCUUCUCCUCGACCAGCGACGACAGCUGAGCUUGUUCCUUCUGACACUAAAUCAUCAGAGUCUUCCCUCCACUACUAUAGAAUGCACCUUUAGCACCAAUUGGGAAAUCCCCUUCAGUAUUGGAUGCUGCAACCAGUGCUAUAUAUCAAAAUGGAGACUAAAAGCCUCGGUCUUGGGUACCGGUUGCAUAACGCAUUACUAAAGGAGGCAAAAGAGAAAUGUAACAAAAAAAAUAUUUUGAAUUCCAAGAAUGUUUCACUAUUCAAGAUGACUAGCUGAGAGUCAACAGACAAGAUACUAGGAAUGUGGGUGCUUGAAUGCAUUUGUACAGAGGUCAUACUAUUUACAAACUCUUCUAUGUUUCCAUAUGACUACCUACUUCAAUGUCACGCGAGCCAUUCAGCUGGACACAUGGCACACUAGCUUGCAUGUCGAAUCCAUGAUUAAUUAUUUGCACUUGUGAUCUCUUACCAGUAUUUGUCCAGACUAGAAACGUGCAACACAUUUUUAGGAUAUGGACACGCAUAUAUUUGGACUAGUAUACAGGUCACCUUUGGAUGCGUACAAGGAUGACCGGGAGGGACUAAUGGAUACAAGGAAGGGACCAUCAGGAUUAAUAUUGACAUAUGCCACAUGACAAUCUUCAUUGUCAUGCAAUCCCUAUCAACAAUCAUGGAAUCCCUAGUGUACUAAUCCCUGGAGGGUUGUGUGGAAAUUUAUUUUACCUUGCGGUGAAAAUCUCAUGAGCAGUCAUUAGUUAAGCUGACUAGCUGAGAUAUAAUAGACAAGCUAGUAAGAUUGGGAGCAUCAAUGCAUCCAUACAGGGUCACAAUAUCCUUUCCAUUCACUUUUAUAUAUAACCCUACGAAUACAAGUCCAACGAAAUGCGGGCCUUUCGAUCAAGAUAAAUUAAAUGGCCCACUUGUAUUUCUAAUCCAGGAUUAACUAUGCCCUCUGUUCAUCUCUUGCAAGCACGUGCAACACAUUUUCACGAUAUGGACAUGCAUGGAGGUUAUUAUACUGUUUGGACAAACUCUGAUGUGCCAUGACCUAAAUGCUUAGGGCCUGUUUGGUUUGAGUUGCUUAUUAUAAGCAACUUAAAGUUGCUUAAAGUUGCUUAUUUGAAGUUGCUUAUUUUUAGUCUAAACUGUUUGGAUACCCUUGCUUAUGAGCAUUGAAUGAGUUGGACAUUGUCAAAUUUGCCCCAUGUGUUGCUACCCCUCCAAUUUGCCUCCCCACCCUUCUUCUUCCUGCACACGUCCGAUCCCGGGGGCCGACGGCGGGCAGGGAGCAGCAGCAGCUGGCCAGGGCGGCGGUGGGGCGGGAGCGGCGGCGCACACCAGCACGCGCUCGCACGCCAGGUGCUAGGGCGCGGCGAGGCAGUCGUCGUAGCCCACCGGGAGCGGGUGCUCGGGCGCGAGGCGGUACUCGACGGAGAUGCCGAGCGUCGGGCGCGCGGCGGCGAGCGCGUUGAGGAAGCGAUGGUAGUGCGGCGACGUCGCGGACUCCGCCACGAAGCCGCCGCCGUGGACGUACACCACCACGGGCAGCUUCGUCUUGCCGUCGGCGGCCGCGGCCGCGGCCUGGGGUGGCAGGUAGAGGCGGACGGAGCAGGAGCCGAGGUCGACGUCCCUGGAGUCGACGCCCGUGGCGGCGUCCAGGCUGGGCCCGACCGGCGGCGGCACGAGCGGGCGCUCGAUGCGGCCGCUCUUGUAAAUCCGACGGGUCUGUGCGGAGGCGGGCGGCGGGCGGGAGCGGCGGGUGGGAGCGGCGGCAGGUGGUGCGGAGGCCGGCGGCGGCGGGUGGCGCGGAGGAAGGGGAGCUGGUGAGUGGUGACAGGGGAGGGGGGGAGAGAGAGGGGGGGUAGGGUGCAUUGAAUGAGGGCAGGAGGUGUAAAGUGCACCUUUUAGUCCCCAUGAGCAACCAUAAGCAGCCCAAGAGUUGCUUAUUUGCUUAUAAUAAGCAACCUCAUAAGCAAGAGUGAUUGGUUUCAUAAGCAACUUAUUUGCUUAUUUUAAGUUGCUUAUGCAUAAGCAUGUGAAACCAAGCAGGUCCUUAACCUAUGGUUGUGGCACCACACAGUACAUAGUAUUUAAUAAUGCUAUUCGUUUGGUAUGUGCACAAGGGCACGCAUGAAAUGUCUGGCCCACGGUAAACAAGUACGGACGCUGCAAAUAAUCUACUCUGCUCGUCCAGUCCCUAGCCUAUAAAUAGAUGCCAUGCUAGCUCUUGUUGUGCUCACAAUUAAUCCUGACUACACACGAGCUUCUCUCCCUGGCCAAGACACAAUCAUAGUAUGAUGAAGAACAUGGCACUAGCCGGCAAUGGUAUGAAGAACUUAAUCCUCGCUGUUCUCUUACUGUGUCUAGUUAUAGGGCAGAUACAAGUGGAAGCUAAGAGCUGCUGCCCAUCCAUUACUGCAAGAAAUAUCUACAAUGCCUGCCGUAUCACGGGUACAUCCCGUCCAACGUGUGCAAAACUGUCAGGCUGCAAAAUUAUCAGCGGGGACAAAUGCAAGCCCCCUAACGACCACCUCACCCUUGACCCGGACACUGGUAAAUAAUAAAUUUAUCUCACUUGAUUUCUUCGUGUUUUGAGUCGUUAAUGUAUUUUCCAUCUGAUGAAACGUAUUGGUUUUGCAUUGAAGAGGAAGUUAAUGUGCUUAACUUCUGCAAGUUGGGGUGUGCGUCGUCUGUGUGCAACAACAUCAACGCUGGUAAGCACCUUUUGCUCAGACGGAGAAAACAAUAAUCAUUAAUUAGCGGCAGCUAGAAUCCUAUAAUCUAAUAUAUUUAUAUAUAUAUAUAAUUUUAUCAGCUCUGGGAAAUGAAGAGGCGAACGAUGCCGUUGAGAGUUGCGACCAAGCCUGCUCUAGCUUCUGCAACGUGCACGUUGGCGCUGCCACCGUGGUUGCUUAAGCAAAUGCAUCCAACUGGAUCGUCCUUGUGCUAAAUAAUUGGAUAUCGUAUCCACUUAAAGCUGCCUUGUGUAGUACGUUUUUGUUUGUGUCUCUCUUUAUAUUCCAAUAAGGUCGGUGAUCUUGAUGCCACACACUCAGACGUGUGUUCAUCUCCAGAUACUACUCCAUGCUACCUGCCCUUUGUGUUUUGUUCAAUAACUGGGUAUCAUAUCCCAGCCAGUGUGCCAUCUGUUUUGUGUUUAUUUCCUUCUAGUUUCAAAGGGGUUAUCAUGAUGUUACCUUCUUUCGAUAUGGUGCUUUGCAUGACUACUGUUGUAUGGUACCAUCUUGUUGGCCAAUAAAUACAUCUUAUCCUAUGACCCUUUGCUAUGACCCUUUGCAAAUAAGUACAAGAUUGUUAAAUACUCGGUAUAAAUUGACUACUGCUGUGAGUUCCCUUUCAGCUUAUCGUAGGCAUACAUUAUUGCUAGCACGGUGAAGACAACCAACACGAAUGGUCAAGUAAACGUACCGGUACUUUUGUAUACCAACACCCUUGCUUAAAUGUACCGGUGUUACUCCCCACUAGCACAUAUAUUCUUAUAUGCUAGCCGGCUUGAAAAUUAACCGAUUAAAAUAAUUAUUUCAAGACAGAAAUAACUUAUCGGCUUCUCGAAGCAUGUGUAAUGUGAAUUCAAGGACUUGAUGGAAGUUGAAUCGCUUAAUCUAGAUUGCUUUCAGGAUUUUGGGUAACUAAAUUUAACAUUUGCACAUACAAAUGUUAAUGUACAAAUAUUAAAUAUAGUUACCCAAGCAGAAUAUGAAGAUACUCUAUAGUAUAUAUAUACUAUAUAAAUCUAGUUAACAUUUAGUCUAAAUGUUAAAUCUAGUUACCUAAAAUCCUGAAAGCAAAAUGUAUAAAUAUAUAUCUUUUAAGGAAUCCCAAAGCAAGAGUUCAGUGGCAUUCUAUAGUCCCAUGCUGCUAGUUUGAGUUGGUCGAAGCCAACUUAAAUAGGAGAGCUCUCUCACUUCUCUAAAUACGUAACUGAAGGAGAGAAGGGGGCUUGGUUACACAACGCACGCACGCACGCAUAUUUGCGUUCUUUUCGCGUAACCAACCGCGUGACUUGAAACUUGCGACGUAGCGUGCUGCCAAGUCAAGUUGAUAUAACCUUUUUGCCGUAGGCGUGUAAUCUUUUGACAACGGUCAUUGGAGGUGAUAAGCACGCAGUCAAUACCUUAAUCCUGAGUUAAUAGGGCGGUUACUACUGCCAAUUAGUGGGGCAAUUUUGUAGGGGAAACGGUUAGCAGAGGGCUACCAUCUUCUCUAUAAGAAGUUCUGGAGACGUCCAGGAACACACAUGUACAUGUGAGAGACCCACGAAUUCCUUCCCAUCUCCCUUUUCCAUCUGGUGAAGUGUGCUAUGGUACUGAGCUGCUGGAUCUCGCCGGCUCUUCUCCUUGGCGUGCACCGAGGAGGAGGGUGAGCGGUAUCUCCGAGCUAUUGCCGUCAGGAAGCCUGCACGAGGGACAACAAUAAAGUUUUUGGGUAGCGCAACUACGCAACCGCUCGAUUCGAUCGACUAUGUUCUGCGCUGCCUCAUCUUCGAUCUGCACUGCAACACGUAACCCUGCAGCAAGUCUACACAAGGACGGAGCACUAAUCUGUAAGUCCUAGAUUGGUUUCUUACAGAGUUGUAGGUUACACAAGAUCUAGAAUUGUUACAUACUUAUUAUUAUGGGUUACAUGAUGUUUUGUACGGUUACGUCUAUUUUGCAUAUGCUAUUUUUACAUACCGUUUACAUGCAUAUGUAAUGGUUACGCCUAGCUAUUUGAAUCUAGAAUUGGGUUACAUAGCAGUAGCAAUGACUUACGUAAUAUGCCUCAUGUUUAUAUCUGGUAGAAUUUAACACGUAUCUCCAACAUAUUUUGAGGCAGUAUAAAUUUCAAUUCCUUUUGCUGCUCUGUUAAAUCCCGUCUUUCGUGUGGCCCAACACUCUAGUAUGCAUGUAGCACCAAGCUUGUUUGAGCCGCUUUGUGCUCUGAUUUUGCUGUCUGUAUCAGGUUGGACUGUUUCUUUGUCUUGCGAUGUAUAGCUUCAUAUCUUCUAGAGGUUAGACAGCAAAACCCGCGUUCUCUUAAGGCAACAACUCGAAGAAUCUGCAGCGCUCCUGAUAUAUCACUGCUGCAGAAACAAUCUUUAGUACUGAUUUCCAACCCCCUUUAGUAUCGGUUUGGCAAUCAGUACCACUACGUCGGUACUAAAGGGAGUUCUCUAGAAUCGGGUCAAAUAACUGGUACUAAAAGUGCUCCUCUACUACCAGUUGGUAACACCAAUAGGUAGUAACUUUUUUUGCACCCAAAAAAUUAAAGAAAAACAGCCGGGAGGCUCGCGCACACACGCAUCAUGAGUAAUAUGCGCGUGCAUGGUUUGUGGGAUUCCAACCCACGACCAAGCUAUAAGCACGUAGUUACAAAAAAAUUAAACACUUAGACAUUUUAGAGCAUCCCAAAUAACUACAAAUUCUUUAGUUUACCAUAUACCAUAAAAUAUUAGUUAAAAUAAGAGCAUACGCACGUCGGAAGAGUCCCAAUGCACCGGUUGAGGAUCAGACCAGGCACUUUGAAUGCACAUGCCAUAAGAUAAUUCUGCAGGACGAUGAUUGCAAUAAUGGACCAUCGAGAAGAUAGGGGCGAUGGGGUUGCCUCAUCAAUUAUGACUUGGCGCAACAAGACCAGCAAAGUCUUUAUCGACAGGGGUGGAUCAAGGGGUGGGGCGGGUAGAGCUCCAAUCUUCCUACCGCCGCUCGAACAAUGGAGCCCCCCUUAGCCCCUCCAUAAAUUUUUAGGUAGAAGAAAAAAGAAGAGAAGGGAAGGAAGGGGAAGAAUAGGGAGCCCCUCCUAAGUAGGUCGCCAUCGUGCUUCCCAACGCAUGAUCGCCGCACCGCAUCCAUUCCUCUACAAGCCUCCAGCGUCUCUCCUGCCGCUACCUCUGAACCAUGUGCAGCUGCAGACCCAACUAGUGUCUUGUCACCCAUCUCAAUCCCAACAGAGCGGCGGCUCCUGCCAGCACAAAUCUCCCUCCGCCUGUUCUUCACGAUCGAUGGCCACCACAAGCAUAAACCUCGCCUUCGCAUCCACGCAAAAGGGUCGCCGGUGUGCCUUCUCGCAUCGCUUCUCAGCCUCCUUCACUUGCGGCUGGCCAAGAACCGUGCCACCACCUCGGGUGCGCGCCACCGCUCCAGGGCCGCUACCCCAUGCGUGCGGCCGCCGCCGGCCACCACGCGUGUGCAACCGUGUCGCACCGCUUCCCUGCUCUGUGCCACCACUGCUACUGCACCACCAGCUCCACCACCUUGGGCUGGUCGCCAGGGUGACUGAUUGGUGGAUUAUUACUACAAAUAAGUUCCUUAUUAUCUGCAACUACUAUUAACUCAGGGAUACAUGCGUCUUUUGCUUCUCCUGUUAAUAUGUCCUAAAAUAUCUAGAAUGCCUUAUAUUUCUGGACGGAGGAAGUAUUUGAAUAAAAUGAACCAAUUUUAAAAAAUGUGUUGUACACUACUACAGAAAGAACUAUCAGUGUCAAACCCAAAAAUGUCGUCACUGCCAGUUUUGGGCAUCGUUGGUGAAAGGUUGGCGGUGAUGGGUAUCCCCUUCAACAACGGCACUAGAGCUAACAGUGAUUGACAUUAGAAAACGAAAAAGGGGACCCACCUAGCCACCCCUGCAACCCGGCUGGCCGUGCCUCCCGUCAUCCCCACCACCUCGCCUCCCCCGUGACCCCCCGCCGGCGCCCUUGCGCCUAGCCCCCUCGCCUGCCUGGCCGGCCACCCUCGUCACGAGAGAGAGGGGUGCAUGUUGUAUAAUUGCGUGAAUUUUUAAUGUUUAAUUUCAUGUAAGUUUCAUAUAAUAAAUUGUACAAGUUUUAUUGUAUAUAUGAAUUCCAUAUAUAUAUAUUUAUAAUUUAAUGUAUGGUUUCAUGUGUAUAUUUCAAUAAUGUGUAUAUUUAGUAGAUAGCCGAUUUUCUUUUUCUACAAGACAAGGGUUGAUGUAUAAUUACGUGUAUAUGUUUAUUGUACGGGCAAUUAGGACAAGUUUUGUAUAAAUUUCUUUUAUUUCAUGGUUGUUGUAUGGUUUCAUGUAUAUACAUUUAUUGUACUACUUGAGACAAUUUUUAAUUUAAUGUUUCUAUGGUUACAUGUGUGUAUAACUAAUUGUAUUAUUAGUUAAGAUGGGAGCCAAAGAGGAUGAAAGGUAUAUAAUGGAGCAGAUUAUUGCUGGCGGUAGUGGCUCAAACGUUGCAAGAACCUACAUCAAGGGUGAGGGUAGCUAGGUGGACAUGUACCUCAACAUGUCCAGUGAUGGCAAUGACGAUGAGGAGCACGAGCAUGACGUUUAUGAUAGUGCGGAACAAGACAUUGCAGAAUUGGAAGGUUCUAAUGAGGUGUGCUUCAUGUUGAUGAUCUGGUUGGCUUUUUUUCUUUGGUCACACCUUAGUUACCAUAGAACUUCGUCUCGGGAGAAGAUUGGAGGUGCUAUGGUGAUUGGAAUUUUAUUGCCUCCAAAUAUGAUUUCCAUCGAAUCAUAUCCCUUGUAUUUAUCUUCUUUUUAUUUGUGAGAGCAUCUUCUUUAUGCUUGCAAAACAAUUCAAGUGCACAUACUACACCUAGGGUGAUGAUUAGGAGUAGAAACAAUUGCCAACAAACGAACACCACAUCCUAAGAUUCUUAACUUGUGGUAUAAUUAGUCUAGUAAAAAGAAAGAUAAAAACCUAAUGGGUGUACGUGAGUGCAAUGCGUAUAUGCAUAUGAGUGGAAGGCAUAUAAGCAAAGAUAAUAUUUACACAUAGAUCUAAGCACCAUGUUUACAACUAAGUUGCUGAAUUUCUCCAUAGCUAUAGAGAUUAAUGAACCAAGGUCAAAACACCAUGUCUAUCCCAAGAUCAGUAAUUCUUUAUAGCACAAGAAAAAGAAAGCGCAUUGCAAAGUUUAUAAACCAACCAAUGCAGCAUGAAAACAAGAUGAAUAGCUAGCAAGGUUUAUUAAACUGAAUGAUGACGGUCUGCAAGCAAGUUUGAACACCAUCUUUACACAAGAUUGCAAAUGGAAAAUUCCCAUAUGAAGAACUAACAUGGAUAUGAAAUCAUUCAUCAUAAAGCGUAAAGAACAACCAAGCCAACCAUAUGCAAAGCAUGAAUGGAAUGCAAUGAAGGUGCAAGAGAACAUUUUUGGAUGAACCCAUUAUGAUGAUGGCAAAAUGCGCCGUGCCCCCCAGCCCCCGCGGUGAGAUCCCGCCGCUCGCUGCCGCCAGACCCUAUUAGGCCUCCACCGGCAGGUCCACCCACGGUCCCGCGCGACGUGGCAGCCUCUUGGCUCUCGGCGCUCGCGGCACGCCAGUGCUGGCGCAGCCCCACCAGGCGACUACCCUCCCCCCAUAAGGCCUCGGCCCCUCCCCAGCGCCGCCCCCCAACACCAGGACUGCCUGCUGCCCCCCACCGUGAGGUAAUCGAAAUCGACUGCUCAAUCUCUCAAUCUGUUGAUAUGAUGCACACGGUUGCAAAAAUAGAUGUGUCAAAAUAGAUGUUUUGCCAAUUGCUAUAGAUGCAUACGGUUGACAUGAAGUCAAAAAUGACAUUUGGUUCCUUGUAGGCAGUCAAAAAUGAAGAAGUCAAAAAAUAUUGAUCUGAAAUCAAUGUGGGAAAGGGCUAUGAAGACACGCAGGUAGAUUCCCUUGUGAACUUUUUAUGUCGUUCGUCUAAAUAAUUUUUUGCAAUGGGCAUACCCUACUCUGAAAUCCUGGGUCCGCCACUGAUGAUGAUGGUCUAAAAAUAAACCAAGCCUAGAUUAAUUAGCCACAACUGAAAUUAAGCAAAGGUUAAUGUCAUUGACCCUAGCUCUAUCCUAGCUUUUACCAAAGUUCCGGCACAUAUAGUGGUUGGGCCCACUCUCUCUGCUUCCCUCUCUGCUGCAUGCACGCACACGAGCAACGGGAGGCCCGACGAAGCCCAGAAGGGUUCGGCCGAACCAGUAUGAGCGCCGCUCCCUCCCAGCCUUCGCGCAGAUGCUCCUCCAACGUUCCUUGACCCCUCCCUCAGCGUCCCGUUGGGUUUAACAUUGCAGGAGAGGAGUCCCUUUUUUAAAAUCUCAACCACCUCCUCUCCCCAUUCACUCCACUCUCAUCUCCAUCAAACUCACCAAGAUCCGCACCGGAAAUCCCUGCUUACCACCAUGGCUGGCAAAGCCCUCAUCCCUUUCACCAACUUGGGCUUGACCACUGAUCUCGAUGGGGAAAUCACUCUGGCAAAUAUGCGUGUAACACUGCCCCCUUUGCCGAGGGUUAAAGCCAAAACACUCAGCAAAGUGGAUAGUACCCCCCUUUUUACCCGUUUUGUCAUGUAUAACGGACCCCUCUCAAUUCACAAUAGACAUCAUCAUAGGCAUUUAUAAUAAACAAUCACAGGCAUAAUUCACAAUCACCAUUACAAGCAUUAUUCAUAAAUAUCACAGACAUAAUCCAAAGUAAGCAUGAAACAAGCCAUAAAUCCAAGUUCAAGUCACAACUAAGUUUCAUCCAAGUUCAAGUCACAAAUGCAAUGUCUAAAUCCAUGGAGGCCAAGGAGACCACUGCGACAAAUCUUGGUCUUCAUUAUUCGAAGCCGCCGAUUGAUUCUGCACAUAGGAUAGGACAUUCUGAGCUAACAUCUAAAGUUGUCAAAAUUAAAGUAUUCAAUCUUAAGCACAAUGUGUCAAAUGACUCACAGGAGUAGUUGUGGGUGGCUGAGGCGGAGGGAACAGCAUCGAUGGCGGUGGCAAAGAUUGACCCAUGCUCGAAGCAAAAUUCUGCAUGUACUGGAACAUCUGGUCCAUCCUCAUCCGAUUUUCUUCCUCCAUCCUCUGCCGCUCGGCCUCUAACCUCCGCUGAACCAUCUGCUCCAUCCUCGCCGCCAUCUCCUCUUGUUGCUUCCUUGCUGCUUCCACCUGGGCCUACAAUAUUUCAUUGCAAUGUUACAAUGCAAAGCUAAAGUAUAGCAACCAACGAACAAUGAAUGGAAGAGAAAGAACCUGGAGAGCCUCCAUCUGGAACUGUCCAAUGGUUGGUCGUAGCCGUAUCGCCGGGCUCGAGUCCGUGCUCCUUGCUUGGAUCUGGGAGAGAGUGGCAGUAGAGGCCGUGUUGAUUACGCCGUCGCCAAUCCAAUAUCGGCCAUGCUUCUUGCCUCCUCCCACCCUCAUCACGAUUUCUCCAUCAAUAUCCUCAGAGCUUGAAUCGAAGUCUGGCCCGUGAACCUCCCUUGCCAUCACUGUAUAUUCCUUUGCCGAGUGCCCGAGAUAAAGCACUCGGCAAAUAGAAAACACUCGGCAACUUUACUGUUUCCCGUAGUGUCGCUAUUUUUGCAGGUUCUCGACCAGGCCAGUUCUUUGGGCCAACCUAUCAUUCACGACUUAAACAUACGGUGGCUGUAGAAAUGUUCUAUUCUUUUCAACAAUACCAGCUGGUUCCUCCGUUUUUAUUCCACCAAUACAAGCACCACCUUGUAACAUUUCCUAUGUUUUUUUUUCCUUUCGUCUGUUUUCUACAUGCGUUGCUCUUUCAUGCAUUUUUUUCCAUUCCUGUAUUCCAAAUAGGUCUACAUGAACACAAAAUGAACUAGGGGACAGAAAAAGCCAGUGAAGCCAAUUUUGAGCUUCACCAGCUACUUGCUACAUAAAGUGUGCUAUAGUGACGUGUUUUAGCAAAACAUGUUAUCAAUGACUUGACAUUGGUGACGUGUUAAAACGCGUUAUCUCAAUGGCAAAUCAUUGGUGACGUGUUUUAAAAAAACAUGUCACCGUGAGAGUCAUUGGUGAAGGGUAAUUAUAAUGCGUCACUAAUGUUGUAGCAUUAGUUAUGAUAAUUUAGUAACGCAAAAAUCUACCAUCAGUAUUGAGCUUUAGAGCCAUCGCUAAUGUGGGUUUCUUACAUAGUGAUGCAAGCUCUACAAGGUGCUGUUGCUGCCAUUUUAAAGCAUCCCAUGACUACAUGUUAAUAACAUAGUUUACCAUAUAUCAUAAAAAUAUUAGUUACAAUAAGCACAUACGCAUGUGGAAGAGUCCGAAUGCACCGGUUGAGGACUAAACACAUUGAAUUACUAGAACCAAAUGUGUGUUUAGAACAAAGACAGGGGUCAAGGUUUGGGUAACCGCAUUAAAAACAUUGGAUUUUACUGUACAUGAACACUUAGUUACCAUUACCAUGCCUUGAGCACCUAGUUACAACAAACAUUAAUUUAGCCACUUUAGAGCUUCCAGAAUCGCUAUAAAUAAUAUACCUACGCCGUACCAUGAAAACAUCAAGAAGAGAGACGGAUACAUGGACCACCAUCAAGCGAGUAGUGACAGCACGCACAAGAAUACCCGGAACCUGUUAGCUUGUCUGUAGUGAUCUGUUUUCUUCCCCAUAAAAUCCAUGAGUAUUGCCACAAAUAAUGAAAGAGGCUGACCAAGCUAGCAAGGAGGUAGAGCAAACGUGAUACACGGCCUGCCAAGAUUGCCCUGGAUACGCCAAUAAGAGCGACAGAUACAUGGAUCACACCAAUAUGGUGAAACGUAUAUUCAUCACACAAGCAAAGCUGGUCAGUUUAUCCAUGGUCAAAUUGUGGUCUUUGUUUUCACUUGAGAGCUAAUUGAGGCACUAUAAUAUGGGCAGGCCUAUCUUCAACAGACAUGACAGCUACAGGGAACUUGACAUAAUUUGCUGGGCCGCCUGUGCACAAUUAUUUGUUUUAUUGUCCUUGCAUAGAAUGCUAAAAUACUCUUUACAAAAUGUUGGAUCUAAUAUUUGAAAUAUAGAGUAGUAAUCAUAUAUUGAUCAACAACUUGAAAUUAUCUGUACAUUCUCGGUGAAGCUGUUGAACUAAUUUUUGCAAAUUAUUAAUUCAUCUCAUUACGUAAAGAAAAAAGUAAGUGGAUAAGAUAUUUCGUGGACCACAUCACUGCAAACAUGUCAUGGAGAGACAGACCAAGGAGGCAGGACGUGAUACACGACUUACCCUAGGUUGCCGUGGAACCGCCAAGAAGAGAUACAGAUACAUGGACCACACCAUCUUGGGAGUAGUGACAGCAUAUAUGCAGAAGAAUACCCCGUGCCUAUUUGCAUGCAUGUCUCAAGUGAUCUGUUUUCUUCAGAAAAUACAUGAGCAUUGCCAGAAAGAAUGGCAAGAGACAAACAUGUCAUAGAGACUUGCAUGUCUUGCCUUGGAUACGCCAAGAAGAGGGACACAUACAUGGAUAACACAAAUCUAGUGACACGUAUAUUCAUCACAAAGGCAAAUCUGAUAAUUUUAUCCAUGGAGCAGACCAAGGAGAAAUUGAUGACGGACAUGUGAUCUCUGUAUUCAGUUGAAAGCUAAUUGAGCUACACUAAUAUGAGCAGGACUAUAUUCAAGAGACUUGUUGAGAGCUACAGGGAACUUGUAAUAAUUUGCUGGGCGGCCUGCGCACAAUGAUUUGUUAUACAUAGUUGAAAUAUUUCAAGAAUUUAUCAACCUCAUACUCUGAAACCCUUGGUGCAAUGUACUCUGCUUUCCGAGGUAGACUGUUCACGUAAAAUGAGGUCAUGCGUAAGACGGAAUCGGAUUGGAUUCACAGGGAAUCAGAUUUGGAUAGCACCUUUUAGCAGGUUUUUAGUCAAAUGCAAAUUCGGAUCCACAUGUGGUUGAAUGCGAGUUCAAAAUUCUACUUGGAUAUCCAUUUAAUUUAGGUGAUAGCAAUUAGCACAAAAUGUUGGAUGAACAAAAUCAUAGUUAGACAUACAAUUACAUGUAUGGUUAAAGUAUAAUACAAUACACCAAGAUUAUUCCUUGAAAAUAUUUCUUAAAAAUAUUAUAAUAAAUGAAUAAAUAUAAUUGUGGCCACCAACAAAUAGUCGGUGGUCGCUAAGUUGGAGCCAUUUCUGGUUACUAAUGCGGCCUUCUCCUCGACCAGCGACGACAGCUGAGCUUGUUCCUUCUGACACUAAAUCAUCAGAGUCUUCCCUCCACUACUAUAGAAUGCACCUUUAGCACCAAUUGGGAAAUCCCCUUCAGUAUUGGAUGCUGCAACCAGUGCUAUAUAUCAAAAUGGAGACUAAAAGCCUCGGUCUUGGGUACCGGUUGCAUAACGCAUUACUAAAGGAGGCAAAAGAGAAAUGUAACAAAAAAAAUAUUUUGAAUUCCAAGAAUGUUUCACUAUUCAAGAUGACUAGCUGAGAGUCAACAGACAAGAUACUAGGAAUGUGGGUGCUUGAAUGCAUUUGUACAGAGGUCAUACUAUUUACAAACUCUUCUAUGUUUCCAUAUGACUACCUACUUCAAUGUCACGCGAGCCAUUCAGCUGGACACAUGGCACACUAGCUUGCAUGUCGAAUCCAUGAUUAAUUAUUUCCACUUGUGAUCUCUUACCAGUAUUUGUCCAGACUAGAAACGUGCAACACAUUUUUAGGAUAUGGACACGCAUAUAUUUGGACUAGUAUACAGGUCACCUUUGGAUGCGUACAAGGAUGACCGGGAGGGACUAGAAAUGGUCUAGUUUUGAUUGGACUACAAAACUUUUUGUACAGUGAAUAGAGAAUAUAUAUUAUUGUUGGAAUACGAGGUAGGCUACACUAUCGCAAUUCUGAUAUUCUACCGCGUAUAACCAAGAAGAACUGUCGUAUAAGGAUCACGGGAUUACCACUCGACGCACUACUGGUGCGGAAGAUGUAGAUAUGCGUCGAUGCAGUGAAGACGAUCACGUAGUCGUAUGUAGUCGAUCAACGUAGUCGUACAUAGUCGAUCACGUCCAGCAGCUCCUCAGCAGCUCGUCCACGUGCAGCAAGAUCGCCUCCGGUACCGCGGCUCGUCGUUGGCUUGUCGUGGCUCGUCGACGGCUCGUCGGCGGCUCGUCCAAGUGCUGCAGGCGCAACACCUCCAAGGUAUCCACACGUGCAGGGAGGAAGCGUCGCAAGCCGGACUGCUAGAUCCACGAGUUGCAACAGGCGAGGGCGUGGGAGGCGCGGCAGGUGUGUUUCGCCAAAAAGGUGUAAACCCUAGGGCGCCCCCACCCCUCUAUUUAUAGAGGUUCCUGACGGGCCUCUGGAUCCGAGGCCCAUUAGUACUUCUAAACCUAAUCCAACUCGGAUCAGAUCCGAAUUGGGCUUCCAGCCCCUUAAGUGUGUGACCCUAUAAGUUCGGAUACGUAUAGACAUGGCCCGAGUACUCCUACUCGGCCCAAUAGUCGGUAGCGGCCUCUAGCAAGACGUGCCAACUCCUAUACGCACACGAAGAUCAUAUCAGACGAACCAUCACAACAUAAUAUACAUGCUAUUCCCUUUGCCUCACGAUAUUUGGUCUAGCUUCAAGCCGACCGCUCUUUCUCAGUCCUGUGAUUCGGAAUCCCUUUGUAGGUUAACUCUUAACCGUACGUAGCAUGGCCAUGCAUUUUCGGAUCUGAUCACUCGAGGGGCCCAGAGAUAUCACUCUCAAUCAGAGAGGGGCAAAUCCCAUCUUGAUUGACCAUGUCUCAUAGCAUGCUUCUUGACAAACCUAAAAACUACCUUUAUAACUUCCCUGUUACGGCGUAGUGUUUGAUAGCUCCUAAGUAGGUCGAUCCACAUCUAGAAUACAUGCGACAAUUUCAGGUCUAAGGACAAAGCGUAUAUGUUGUUUAAAGAGAGAACUACUUCUCGUGUUGGGUCAGUCCCAGCACAUGUCUCCACAUGUGUCCACAUUAUUAGUUCAACAUCUCCAUGUCCAUGACUUGUGAAACAUAGUCAUCAACUAAUACAUGUGCUAGUCUAAUAUUCAUGUGUGUCCUCACAUGAACUCCGACUAGGGACAACUUUAGAAUAACCAUACAAGUAAAGAGUUUCACAUACAAUUCACAUAAUUGCAAAUCAAUUCAAGUAGCCUUCAAUGGAUAUUCAAUGAACACAACAUACAAAUCAUGGAUACAAAUGGAAUAUCAUCAUCUCUAUGAUUGCCUCUAGGGCAUACCUCCAACAGUCUCCCACUUGCACUAGAGUCAAUCUAGAAGGUACCUAAUACCCAUAGCUCUUACAUGCGCAUCAUGCUUAGCCUGCGGGAGUGGUUUUGUCAACGGAUCAGAAAUGUUCAGAUCCGUGUGUAUUUUGCAUAUCUUGAUCUCACCCCGGUUAACGAAGUCUCGAAUGAGAUGAAAUCGCCGCAUUACAUGUUUGUUCUUCUGGUGGUUCCUUGGCUCCUUUGCUUGCGCAAUUGCCCCAUUGUUAUCACAGUAGAGAUUCAAUGGGCUGGACCCAUUCGGGAACACACCAAGCUCAAUGAGGAAAUUCCUUAUCCAAACACCUUCCUUCGCGGCUUCCGAAGCCGCGAUGUACUCGGCUUCUGUCGUAGAAUCGGCCACCGUCUCCUGCUUGGAACUCUUCCAACUAACAGCACCACCAUUUAGCGUGAACACAAAUCCUGUUUGUGACUUUGAAUCAUCUCUGUCGGUUUGGAAACUAGCAUCGGUGUAACCUGUUACAACGAGCUCCUCCUCACCUCCAUAGACGAGGAAUAUAUCUUUAGUCCUUCUCAAGUACUUAAGAAUGUUUUUCACCGCUGUUCAGUGACUCUCACCUGGAUCAGAUUGGUGUCUGCUUGUCAUACUUAGCACAUAUGAAACAUCUGGGCGAGUACUUAUCAUUGCAUACAUGAUAGAUCCAAUAGCCGAGGCAUAUGACACUCUACUCAUGUGAUCCCGCUCAUCAGCAGUCGAAGGACACUGAGUCUUGCUGAGAUGUAUGCCAUGUGACAUAGGCAAGAACCCUUCCAUGCUGAACCGCUUCAACACUUUGUCAAUGUAAGUAUCUUGGCUUAAACCUAUAAGCCUUCUCGAUCUAUCUCUAUAGAUCUUAAUGCCCAGAAUAUAUGCCGCUUCCCCUAAGUCCUUCAUCGAAAAACUAUUUUUCAGUGAAGUCUUUAUGGACUCAAGCAUAGGAAUGUUAUUUCCAAUCAGUAAUAUGUCAUCCACAUAUAAGAUUAGAAAUACUACAGAGCUCCCACUAACCUUCUUGUAAACACAAGACUCUUCUUCGUUCUUGGUGAAGUCAAACCCUUUGACCACUUCAUCAAAACGAAUGUUCCAACUCCUAGAUGCUUGCUUCAAUCAAUAAAUGGAUCUCUGAAGCUUGCAUACCUUUCCAGCAUUUUUCGGAUCGACAAAACCCUUGGACUGUAUCAUAUACACGUCCUCAGUUAGGUUUCCAUUCAGGAAAGCUGUCUUGACAUCCAUCUGCCAUAUCUCAUAAUCGAAAUAUGCAGCCAAACUUGAUUGUCUCCCAUGGACUCUAUUUCGGAUUGCAUGGCAUUCUGCCAUUUUUCGGAGUCUGGGUCCAUCAUUGCUUCUGCAUAUGUCACAGGCUCAUCAUUGUCCAACAAUAAUAUUUCCUGCAUUUCGCGGAGCCUUGCCGACCUUCGUGGUUGUGGCGGUGCUUCUCUUGCCAUGGGUAUCUCAACUUGUUCUGCUACGUUAGCAUCACUCAUUGAUUCUUGCCCGAUCGGCUCAUCUUGAACUUCUUCAAGAUGCACUGUCUUUCCACUCUUUUCUCCUUUGAGAAACUCUUUCUCUAGGAAAACCCCGUUCCGAGCGACAAACACUUUGCCUUCUGAUCAGUUGUAAAAAUAAUAUCCCAAAGUUUCCUUUGGAUAUCCCACGAAAAUGCACUUAUCCGACUUGGGUGCGAUCUUGUCCGACUGAAGUCGCUUGACAAACACAUCACAUCCCCAAAUCUUUAGAAAAGACAAACUAGGAACCUUUCCAGUCCAUAUCUCAUAUGGUGUCUUAACUACGGAUUUAGAUGGUACCCUAUUAAGUGUGAAAGCUGCUGUUUCUAGAGCGUAUCCCCAAAAUGACAACGGUAGGUCCGACUGGCUCAUCAUUGAUCGAACCAUGUCUAACAAAGAUCGAUUACGUCGCUCGGACACACCGUUUCUCUGAGGUGAUCCAGGCGGCGUAAGUUGUGGAACAAUUCCGCAACUCUUUAGAUGAUUGCUAAACUUGUGGCUCAAAUACUCGCCUCCACGAUCAGAUUGUAAGGCCUUAAUUUUCUUGACACGCUAAUUUUCAACUUCAUUCUGAAAAUCCUUGAACUUUUCAAAGGUUUCAGACUUGUGCCUCAUCAAGUAGACAUAGCCAUAUCUACUAAAAUCAUCAGUGAAAGAUAUGAAGUAUUGGAAUCCUCCUCUAGCCGUCGUGCUCAUUGGUCCGCAUACAUCACUAUGUACGAGUUCCAACAAGUCUACUGCUCUCUCAGGAAAUCCUGUGAAAGACGUCUUGGUCAUCUUGCCUAGCAAGCAAGCCUCACAUGUCUCGUAUGAUUCAAAAUCAAACGAAGUUAGAAGUCCAUCAGAAUGGAGCUUCUUCAUGCGUUUUUCACUUAUAUGACCCAAACGACAAUGCCACAAGUAGGUAGGACUCAAAUCAUUAGGCCGAGGCCUUUUAGCACUUACAUUACAGACAGGUGAACCAUCAAGAUUUAAAACAAAUAAUCCAUUCACAAUGGGUGCAAAAGCCAUAAACAUAUUAUUCUUAGAGAUCACACAACCAUUGUUUUCACUCGCAAAUGAAUAACCAUCCUUCAUCAAGCAUGAAGGAGACAAAAUGUUUCGACUUAAACUAGGAACAAAAUAACAAUUAUUCAACUCCAUAAUAAAUGCUGACGGGAGGUGGAGUUGCAUCGUCCCGACGGUCAACGCAGCAACUCUUGCAUUAUUGCCCACGCGGAAAUCAACUUCUCCUCUUUCCACGCUUCUACUUCUUAUCAUUCCCUGCAUCGAAUUGCAAAUAUGAGCAACCGAUCCGGUAUCAAAUACCCAAGAAUUAAUAAUUGUAUCAGCGAGAAAUAUGUUGUCUAUGACAUUAACAACAAGCGUACCUGAGGUAGAAGUACUCUUACUUCCUCCAUUCUUCAACGAAGCUAGGUACUGCUUGCAGUUUCUCUUCCAGUGACCAAGUUCAUGACAGUAAAAGCACUCUUUGUCUGGAGCAGGUCCAGGUCCAGCUUUAACCUUGGGCGCUCGCUGGGUUUGGCUUGGAAAUUCCAGCCUUGCCCUUCUUCUUCCAAGAAUUGCCCUUCUUCUUAAAGCUAGGCUUGUUCUGUAUAGCCAUCACAUGGCUAGUACAAGCGCUUUUCUUGAUGUCUACCUCUGCUGUCUUGAGCAUACCACACAGUUCAUUCAAACCCUUCUCCGUCCCAUGCAUAUGGUAGUUCGAGAUGAAGUUCCCAUAGCUAGGCGGAAGAGAUGAAAGAAUGAAGUCAGUGGCCAACUCUUUGCCCAUUGGGAAGCCCAGCUUCUCCAAUCGCUGAGUGUAACCAACCAUGUUGAUUACAUGUGGUCCUACUGCUGCGUCUUCUGCUAGCUUGCACUCCAGAAAAGCUUUGGACACAUUGAACCUUUCAGUCCUAGCCUGUGUCUGGAACAUGUCCUUGAGCGCCACGAUCAUAUCGUGUGCCUCAUGAUUUGUUUCGAACUGCAUCUGCAGCUCGGGUUCCAUGCAAGCAAGCAUAAGGCAGCUUACCUCAAGAUUAGCAUCAAAUGCCUUCUUGUAAGCAGCCUUAACGGCAGCAGAUGCAUCAUCAGCAGGUACUGGUGGUAGUGGGGUAUCUAGAACAUCUUCCUUUUUAUCGGCCCUGAGAACAAUUCUCAGGUUACGGAUCCAAUCCGAGUAGUUUGUUCCAUUCAACUUGUCCUUCUCAAGGACCGAGCGCAAAGCAAACGAUGUGGUGGUGUUGCUAGGUGCCAUUUAAUCUACAACAAAAGUAAUGCAAAAUACACUAAGACAAACGUAUCCAUGAUAGAGCAAAUUACAUUAAACUAUUUUAACAGAAUCUACUCCCACUAAAAUCAAUAUCCCUCUAUUGAAACUUAGUGAUUCAGGAUCCACAACUAACAAGUCUACUAGUGAGCUUUAGCAUCACCGCUAGCAAACGAGGUAGAUCGGUAAGCAACUUUUGCUAAUCAUAUCACAUAUGACUCCUGUUGUUGGGUGACAUCUCCAUGUCUCGGCGCCCAACCAUUAUGCCCCAAGGUCCUUAACCGUUAAGAUGACCUCGUUAAGCAAACCAACCCUUAUGCGUGUAAGUGUCCGACACAAACCCGUCUAGUCAAGGAAAACUAGUGGCACCCUAAUUUCAUAGACCCACCACUAAUUGUACAAGACAUGGGACGGUGCAAGUUUUAGUUGGGAGGGCAUACUAACUUAAAUUUUUUGUGAGGGAUCGUUCUACUUCUAACAUCACAGCAUGCAGAAAGUAAAACAUAAACAGAAUAGCAUUCACACAGCUGUGACACAGUAUGGCCCGUUUUUAUAUGGUGAUCUCCAUCUCCAUAGAACCUGUUCACCAUGGUGAUCUCCAUCUCCAUGUUCCAUGUGCGCCAUCCUCCUGGUGAGGAGUCCUCCAAGAACUAGAACAUGCUAUUACACCUAAUAGCUAGUAAAGAAUCUAGUAAUGAAGAUUACAUAGUUGCUUGGAUCAUCACAGAUUGGUACGCAGACCAUUAAAUACAAUAAAGUGACAACACAUAUGGCUCCUGCCGUGUUGCCGUACGCGCGACACGCAGGUCACGAAUGAGUUACACACAUGCAUCACAUACACAAGGGGGCCAUACUGAUCACAAGAUACAUACAUACAUCCUGCAAAACAGAGUUAGGCGUCCUAACGUUCCAAACUUCGAAGGCCCGAAACUCCAUCUUCCAAGCCGAAUUUGGGAAAUCUAAUUUUGCCGAAAACGGCAAAGCGGUUGAAUUUCAUGUGUAACUUUUUCUGUAGAUCAAUUUUCAUAUAAAAUUCGCCCCGAUCCGAGAUCGUACCGAAAAGUUACGGCUGAUUUACCGAAGCAUACGCAUACGGCAAAAAUUCCGACCCCGGCAGUAGAUCCCAUCUACUAUUGCACAUCUAAUGCGCCUGGCGUAUGAUCCUGGAUUUCGAUUCGACCAAUCAUAUUGAUCUUCGCUCACUGCAACUGGAAUUACGUGUAUCACUUAACUCGUCGGCGGCUCGUCGGCGGCUCAUCCAAGUGCUGCAGGCCCAACACCUCCAAGGUAUCCACACGUGCAGGGAGGAAGCGUCGCAAACCGGACUGCUAGAUCCGCGAGUUGCAAUAGGCGAGGGCGUGGGAGGCGCCGCAGGUGUGUUUCGCCAAAAAGAUGUAAACCCUAGGGCGCCCCCACCCCUCUAUUUAUAGAGGUUCCUGACGGGCCUCUGGAUCCGAGGCCCAUUAGUACUUCUAAACCUAAUCCAACUCGGAUCAGAUCCGAAUUGGGCUUCCAGCCCCUUAAGUGUGUGACCCUAUGGGUUCGGAUACGUAUAGACAUGGCCCGAGUACUCCUACUCGGCCCAAUAGUCGGUAGCGGCCUCUAGCAAGACGUGCCAACUCCUAUACACACACGAAGAUCAUAUCAGAUGAACCAUCACAACAUAAUAUACAUGCUAUUCCCUUUGCCUCACGAUAUUUGGUCUAGCUUCAAGCCGACCGCUCUUUCUCAAUCCUGUGAUUCGGAAUCCCUUUGUAGGUUAACUCUUAACCGUACGUAGCAUGGCCAUGCAUUUUCGGAUCCGAUCACUCGAGGGGCCCAGAGAUAUCACUCUCAAUCAGAGAGGGGCAAAUCCCAUCUUGAUUGACCAUGUCUCAUAGCAUGCUUCUUGACAAACCCGAAAACUACCUUUAUAACUACCCUGUUACGGCGUAGCAUUUGAUAGCCCCUAAGUAGGUCGAUCCACAUCUAGAAUACAUGCGACAAUCUCAGGUCUAAGGACAAAGCGUAUAUGUUGUUUAAAGAGAGAACUACUUCUCGUGUUGGGUCAGUCCCAGCACAUGUCUCCACAUGUGUCCACAUUAUUAGUUCAACAUCUCCAUGUCCAUGACUUGUGAAACAUAGUCAUCAACUAAUACAUGUGCUAGUCUAAUAUUCAUGUGUGUCCUCACAUGAACUCCGACUAGGGACAACUUUAGAAUAACCAUACAAGUAAAGAGUUUCACAUACAAUUCACAUAAUUGCAAAUCAAUUCAAGUAGCCUUCAAUGGAUAUUCAAUGAACACAACAUACAAAUCAUGGAUACAAAUGGAAUAUCAUCAUCUCUAUGAUUGCCUCUAGGGCAUACCUCCAACAAUUAUUUCAUGUAAAUUUUUGACAAUUUUUUAAAAUUGUUUGAUAUUUUUUAAAUUUUUUUUAAAAUAACUUUGCCGAGUGUCCUAUUGUAGACACUCGGCAAAGCAGCCUUCACCGAGUGUUACCCCUGGGACACUCGGCGAAUUAAUGCCCGGCCGCUCAAGAAUAUGUGCCCGGCCCCCUCACUCUCCCGGCCCCCCUCACUCUCACUCCCCUCACUCCCUCCUCUCUCCCUCCUCUCUCCCUCUCGCCGCCGCCCGAAACCCCCGCCGCCGCCCGCCGCCCGGCAUGCCGCCCAGCGCCCCCCGCCGCCGCCCGGCGCUCCCGAAUCCGCCGCCGCCCGCCCGGCGCCCGGCCCCCGGAUCCGCCGCCGCCGGCCGCCCGGCGCCCCCGGAUUCGCCGCCGCCCGCCCGGCCCCCGGCCCCCGGAUCAGCCGCCGCCCGCCGCCCGGCGCACGGCGCCCCCGGAUCCGCCGCCGCCUGCCCGGCGCCCGGCCCCUGGCCCCCUGAUCCGCCGCCGCCCGCCCGGAUCCGCCGCCGCCCGCCCGGCGCCCGGCCCCCGGCCCCCGGAUCCACCGCCGCCCCCCCGGCCCCCGGAUCCGCCGCCCGCCCGUCCCCUCCACCGGAUCCGCCGGCGCCGGGGCCUGAAGAGAAGAGAAGAGGAGAGGAUGGUGGCGGCGGCGGCCGCGGCGGCGGAGCAGGUGGCAGAGCAUGCAUGAUUUUUUUUUAUUUUUUCAAUAAUUGUUCGCCAAGUGUUUUCUGGGCACUCGGCAAAGUCUUUGCCGAGUGCCCGACACAAAACACUCGGCGAACCAGUGUUUGCCGUCAAGAUUUUUGCCGUGUGUCGUUUGCCGAGUGUUACACUCGGCAAACGCUUUGUCGAGUGUUUUUGGGGUUUCGCGGAGUGACCCUGGCACUCGGCAUCACGCAUGUUUCCCUUAGUGAACUUGAAAUUAUCUGUACAUUCUCGGUGAAGCUGUUGAACUAAUUUUUGCAAAUUAUUAAUUCAUCUCAUUACGCAAAGAAAAAAGUAAGUGGAUAAGAUAUUUCGUGGACCACAUCACUGCAAACAUGUCAUGGAGAGACAGACCAAGGAGGCAGGACGUGAUACACGACUUACCCUAGGUUGCCGUGGAACCGCCAAGAAGAGAUACAGAUACAUGGACCACACCAUCUUGGGAGUAGUGACAGCAUAUAUGCAGAAGAAUACCCCGUGCCUAUUUGCAUGCAUGUCUCAAGUGAUCUGUUUUCUUCAGAAAAUACAUGAGCAUUGCCAGAAAGAAUGGCAAGAGACAAACAUGUCAUAGAGACUUGCAUGUCUUGCCUUGGAUACGCCAAGAAGAGGGACACAUACAUGGAUAACACAAAUCUAGUGACACGUAUAUUCAUCACAAAGGCAAAUCUGAUAAUUUUAUCCAUGGAGCAGACCAAGGAGAAAUUGAUGACGGACAUGUGAUCUCUGUAUUCAGUUGAAAGCUAAUUGAGCUACACUAAUAUGAGCAGGACUAUAUUCAAGAGACUUGUUGAGAGCUACAGGGAACUUGUAAUAAUUUGCUGGGCGGCCUGCGCACAAUGAUUUGUUAUACAUAGUUGAAAUAUUUCAAGAAUUUAUCAACCUCAUACUCUGAAACCCUUGGUGCAAUGUACUCUGCUUUCCGAGGUAGACUGUUCACGUAAAAUGAGGUCAUGCGUAAGACGGAAUCGGAUUGGAUUCACAGGGAAUCAGAUUUGGAUAGCACCUUUUAGCAGGUUUUUAGUCAAAUGCAAAUUCGGAUCCACAUGUGGUUGAAUGCGAGUUCAAAAUUCUACUUGGAUAUCCAUUUAAUUUAGGUGAUAGCAAUUAGCACAAAAUGUUGGAUGAACAAAAUCAUAGUUAGACAUACAAUUACAUGUAUGGUUAAAGUAUAAUACAAUACACCAAGAUUAUUCCUUGAAAAUAUUUCUUAAAAAUAUUAUAAUAAAUGAAUAAAUAUAAUUGUGGCCACCAACAAAUAGUCGGUGGUCGCUAAGUUGGAGCCAUUUCUGGUUACUAAUGCGGCCUUCUCCUCGACCAGCGACGACAGCUGAGCUUGUUCCUUCUGACACUAAAUCAUCAGAGUCUUCCCUCCACUACUAUAGAAUGCACCUUUAGCACCAAUUGGGAAAUCCCCUUCAGUAUUGGAUGCUGCAACCAGUGCUAUAUAUCAAAAUGGAGACUAAAAGCCUCGGUCUUGGGUACCGGUUGCAUAACGCAUUACUAAAGGAGGCAAAAGAGAAAUGUAACAAAAAAAAUAUUUUGAAUUCCAAGAAUGUUUCACUAUUCAAGAUGACUAGCUGAGAGUCAACAGACAAGAUACUAGGAAUGUGGGUGCUUGAAUGCAUUUGUACAGAGGUCAUACUAUUUACAAACUCUUCUAUGUUUCCAUAUGACUACCUACUUCAAUGUCACGCGAGCCAUUCAGCUGGACACAUGGCACACUAGCUUGCAUGUCGAAUCCAUGAUUAAUUAUUUGCACUUGUGAUCUCUUACCAGUAUUUGUCCAGACUAGAAACGUGCAACACAUUUUUAGGAUAUGGACACGCAUAUAUUUGGACUAGUAUACAGGUCACCUUUGGAUGCGUACAAGGAUGACCGGGAGGGACUAAUGGAUACAAGGAAGGGACCAUCAGGAUUAAUAUUGACAUAUGCCACAUGACAAUCUUCAUUGUCAUGCAAUCCCUAUCAACAAUCAUGGAAUCCCUAGUGUACUAAUCCCUGGAGGGUUGUGUGGAAAUUUAUUUUACCUUGCGGUGAAAAUCUCAUGAGCAGUCAUUAGUUAAGCUGACUAGCUGAGAUAUAAUAGACAAGCUAGUAAGAUUGGGAGCAUCAAUGCAUCCAUACAGGGUCACAAUAUCCUUUCCAUUCACUUUUAUAUAUAACCCUACGAAUACAAGUCCAACGAAAUGCGGGCCUUUCGAUCAAGAUAAAUUAAAUGGCCCACUUGUAUUUCUAAUCCAGGAUUAACUAUGCCCUCUGUUCAUCUCUUGCAAGCACGUGCAACACAUUUUCACGAUAUGGACAUGCAUGGAGGUUAUUAUACUGUUUGGACAAACUCUGAUGUGCCAUGACCUAAAUGCUUAGGGCCUGUUUGGUUUGAGUUGCUUAUUAUAAGCAACUUAAAGUUGCUUAAAGUUGCUUAUUUGAAGUUGCUUAUUUUUAGUCUAAACUGUUUGGAUACCCUUGCUUAUGAGCAUUGAAUGAGUUGGACAUUGUCAAAUUUGCCCCAUGUGUUGCUACCCCUCCAAUUUGCCUCCCCACCCUUCUUCUUCCUGCACACGUCCGAUCCCGGGGGCCGACGGCGGGCAGGGAGCAGCAGCAGCUGGCCAGGGCGGCGGUGGGGCGGGAGCGGCGGCGCACACCAGCACGCGCUCGCACGCCAGGUGCUAGGGCGCGGCGAGGCAGUCGUCGUAGCCCACCGGGAGCGGGUGCUCGGGCGCGAGGCGGUACUCGACGGAGAUGCCGAGCGUCGGGCGCGCGGCGGCGAGCGCGUUGAGGAAGCGAUGGUAGUGCGGCGACGUCGCGGACUCCGCCACGAAGCCGCCGCCGUGGACGUACACCACCACGGGCAGCUUCGUCUUGCCGUCGGCGGCCGCGGCCGCGGCCUGGGGUGGCAGGUAGAGGCGGACGGAGCAGGAGCCGAGGUCGACGUCCCUGGAGUCGACGCCCGUGGCGGCGUCCAGGCUAGGCCCGACCGGCGGCGGCACGAGCGGGCGCUCGAUGCGGCCGCUCUUGUAAAUCCGACGGGUCUGUGCGGAGGCGGGCGGCGGGCGGGAGCGGCGGGUGGGAGCGGCGGCAGGUGGUGCGGAGGCCGGCGGCGGCGGGUGGCGCGGAGGAAGGGGAGCUGGUGAGUGGUGACAGGGGAGGGGGGGAGAGAGAGGGGGGGGUAGGGUGCAUUGAAUGAGGGCAGGAGGUGUAAAGUGCACCUUUUAGUCCCCAUGAGCAACCAUAAGCAGCCCAAGAGUUGCUUAUUUGCUUAUAAUAAGCAACCUCAUAAGCAAGAGUGAUUGGUUUCAUAAGCAACUUAUUUGCUUAUUUUAAGUUGCUUAUGCAUAAGCAUGUGAAACCAAGCAGGUCCUUAACCUAUGGUUGUGGCACCACACAGUACAUAGUAUUUAAUAAUGCUAUUCGUUUGGUAUGUGCACAAGGGCACGCAUGAAAUGUCUGGCCCACGGUAAACAAGUACGGACGCUGCAAAUAAUCUACUCUGCUCGUCCAGUCCCUAGCCUAUAAAUAGAUGCCAUGCUAGCUCUUGUUGUGCUCACAAUUAAUCCUGACUACACACGAGCUUCUCUCCCUGGCCAAGACACAAUCAUAGUAUGAUGAAGAACAUGGCACUAGCCGGCAAUGGUAUGAAGAACUUAAUCCUCGCUGUUCUCUUACUGUGUCUAGUUAUAGGGCAGAUACAAGUGGAAGCUAAGAGCUGCUGCCCAUCCAUUACUGCAAGAAAUAUCUACAAUGCCUGCCGUAUCACGGGUACAUCCCGUCCAACGUGUGCAAAACUGUCAGGCUGCAAAAUUAUCAGCGGGGACAAAUGCAAGCCCCCUAACGACCACCUCACCCUUGACCCGGACACUGGUAAAUAAUAAAUUUAUCUCACUUGAUUUCUUCGUGUUUUGAGUCGUUAAUGUAUUUUCCAUCUGAUGAAACGUAUUGGUUUUGCAUUGAAGAGGAAGUUAAUGUGCUUAACUUCUGCAAGUUGGGGUGUGCGUCGUCUGUGUGCAACAACAUCAACGCUGGUAAGCACCUUUUGCUCAGACGGAGAAAACAAUAAUCAUUAAUUAGCGGCAGCUAGAAUCCUAUAAUCUAAUAUAUUUAUAUAUAUAUAUAAUUUUAUCAGCUCUGGGAAAUGAAGAGGCGAACGAUGCCGUUGAGAGUUGCGACCAAGCCUGCUCUAGCUUCUGCAACGUGCACGUUGGCGCUGCCACCGUGGUUGCUUAAGCAAAUGCAUCCAACUGGAUCGUCCUUGUGCUAAAUAAUUGGAUAUCGUAUCCACUUAAAGCUGCCUUGUGUAGUACGUUUUUGUUUGUGUCUCUCUUUAUAUUCCAAUAAGGUCGGUGAUCUUGAUGCCACACACUCAGACGUGUGUUCAUCUCCAGAUACUACUCCAUGCUACCUGCCCUUUGUGUUUUGUUCAAUAACUGGGUAUCAUAUCCCAGCCAGUGUGCCAUCUGUUUUGUGUUUAUUUCCUUCUAGUUUCAAAGGGGUUAUCAUGAUGUUACCUUCUUUCGAUAUGGUGCUUUGCAUGACUACUGUUGUAUGGUACCAUCUUGUUGGCCAAUAAAUACAUCUUAUCCUAUGACCCUUUGCUAUGACCCUUUGCAAAUAAGUACAAGAUUGUUAAAUACUCGGUAUAAAUUGACUACUGCUGUGAGUUCCCUUUCAGCUUAUCGUAGGCAUACAUUAUUGCUAGCACGGUGAAGACAACCAACACGAAUGGUCAAGUAAACGUACCG